rnacentral:lncRNA from 1 species
UCCCCUUUCCUAGCAGAUUUUGCGCAAUCAAAGAACGAAGAGGAGGAAAAAGAUGUUCUAGAGACAUUUAGAAAGGUGCAUGUCAACAUUCCCCUCCUUGAUGCCAUAAAGCAAAAUCCCGAAGUAUGCCAAGUGUUUAAAGAAGCUUUGUACAACAAAGAAACGUGUCCGGGAGAAAGAGGUGGUACAUGUACGUGAGAAUGUCUCCGCCAUCUUGCAACAUAAACUACCCCCCAAAUGCAAAGACCCGGAAGUUUUACAAUUCCAUGUGUCAUUGGUAAUACCCGUUUCAAAUCUACCAUGCUAGAUUUAGGAGCAUCUAUUAAUGUUAUGCCAUAUUCUGUGUAUGCAUCUAUGAAUCUAGGAGCACUUAAACAUGAUGGUGUAAUCAUACAAUUGGCCGAUAGAUCUAACGCUUAUCCAAAGGGAGUUUUGGAAGACGUUUUAGUGCAGGUUGAUCAUUUAGUCUUCCCAGCGGAUUUCUAUGUCCUCGAAAUGGAUGAAUCAGACCAUGCCCCUUCAUUGCCCAUCCUCCUUGGAAGGCCAUUCAUGAAAACGGCUCAAACGAAGAUUGACGUGGCCAAAGGAUUAGUCACUAUGGCAUUUGGUGGUGACAUGAUUAGUUUUAAAAUUUCUGAAUCCAUUGAGACUCCUAAUAUUGUUCAUUCUUUUGUGCCAUUGGUAAAAUUGAAAAGAUAAGGACCGGACCAUUCAGCACCAAGCACGAAGGAUGCAUCAGAACAUUGCAAGACGAGGGAAUUGGAGUGGAGUACAAGGACCAUACGGCCACUGCCCUCAAAAUGCUCAAAGUGGCCGAAAGCACCAUGGGGAAGAAUGUUCACAUUGCUGCCACUUCAUCACAUCACAUAGGUAAGCCACCUAAUCCAAAUCCAAUGCCAUUUAAAGUUGAUAGGUGGUUCCCUUCUUUGGUGCAGGUACCUAAGCAAAUCCCCGAUGGUGGGCGUAUGAACAUGAACCUUAGACAACACAACGCACCCAUCAACAAACAUCACUAUCCAUUUCCGUUCAAGGAUGUAAUCUAUGAGAACUUUGUGGAGCAUGUUGUGGAGGAUAUCCCACUGCAUGCCGUGGGUUCCAAGGAGAAGUGAAGGUGUUCAUCGUUCGGCUGGAAGACGUUAAAGCAAGCGCUUUAAGGGAGGCAACCCAUUUAUUCUGCUUGAUUGUCAAUUUUAUUACUUGUUUAAUUAUUUUUGGUUAUGAUUUUCUAUUUUGAAAUAUUAACAAAUAUGCAAGGGAUUUUUGACAUUAAACUUCAUGAAAUGAACAGGAAUCUGGGAAAUAAAGAAACAUAACAUAAUACAAGAGGAAGAGCUUUCACAAAGGCUGCUUGGGCGGAGUUGCAGUAGUCGGCGGAGUCGCAGUAGUUGGCGGAGUCUCAGCAGUCGGUGGGGCCACGGAAGGAGGAGGUAUCAGAGGUUGAUCAGAUCAGUUGGAGCUUCACUGCGCGGUGCCGCCCCAGAAUUAAGGCAGAUGCUGUUGGAACAAACCCACAAACCUUCGGUGAUCAAGUAAAAUCUGACGAUCAGUUUCCUGCAGCUGGUCAAUUUUCCUCUUCAUGUUUGUGGCAUAACUGUGUGCAAGCUUAUGCAAUUGUUUAUUUUCAUGCUUGAGUCCUCUAAUCUCCUCUUUGAGACUCUGUAUUUCAGCCACCAACGAUUCAACAUGACGGGUUCGAGCAAAUAGGCGUUGGGCCAUGUUGGACACAGAACCCGCACACUGCACGCUAAGAGCCAGAGACUCCUAACGCCAAUUCAUCAGACCGUCUAGCGAGCAGUCUGUUAUCUCUGGGGGUGACAAGGUUCCGGGCCACCACCGCAGCGGUCAUGUCAUUUUUCAUCACCGAAUCCCCAACGGUGAGGGAACCGGUAGGGGAUAUGAAGGAUGGGCGCCAUAUGUUGUCUGGUGAAGGCGGAGCUGCCUCUUCACCAAUGUUCAAGUCAAAACGACGAUCGGAAGGGCCAGACAUUUUUCAGAGGUGGUGAAGAAAGAAGAGAGUCGGACUGAUUAAGAUUUUGGAAGUGCAAGAAGGGAGUGUUUACAGGAGGGAGCUCAAGUGUGUUGUGGAACAAAAUUAACGCCUCUAUAAAAAAGAAAUCAAAAGAGGCGCUCCUCAGAAAUCGAAGAAGCGUCCUCUCGCAAAUCGAAGAGUCGAGAGGGAUUCUUUCUCAAAAAGAGGCGUUUCAUUUCUCAAAAAAUGGGCUUGCUCAGAAACCACGAGCCGAACCCCGGAUUUCAAAAGAUCAAUUUGUCCAGACGUGUCGUCACUCGUCACAUGCAACUUGCAGCUUUGCGGAAAUUACGGGCAGCUUUGUCAGAAAGCGCGUAAUUUGUACUAUUCAUCCAUCCACCGGCUGCCGACAAUGAGUGAGAGAAUAGUUCCGGUUGUGAAGAAAAGCCCUAUAAGUAUCUACCUUCGCUUUCCACAGCAAAGGCACACCCUCUCAGCACUUCUUCAUCUCUCUGAAAUGGCUUUCCAACAAACCCUCUCGAGUCACUCAGUGUUCCUUAUUCCCUGGGAUACCCCUGCAAACAACCCAUCCAGAGCACAAGUAUUUCAUAUCAUAAAGGUUGAGAGCACGAGUAUCUCAUAUCAUGCUUUCUCCAUGUCCUUUCUCCAGCCAGCACCUGCUCUCGAGUACUCAUCAUCUUAUGUUUCCGCUUCGUCUCUCACGCAUAAGGGAAGUGAAGAUGAUACCUCGAAGCAUGUGGAGACAACGUGCUGAUUCAUCCUCAACUAGGGACAAGGAGAAAGAGAGCAAGAGGUGGGGGCACUUGGAAAGAUUGAAGAAAGAAACAGACCAACACCUUUGCCUCGUGCCUGCCCACCGUGCAGAAGAAACAAGCAGAGAAGAAUGCAGACUGCACUCUGAUAUUCCCCGCUCAGAAUUCCAAACCAGUUCAAGAUCAAAGCUGUGGAAAGUCAACAAGAUCAACUAUCUCCAAAACCAGAUUUGCGUUCUUAAACUCUACUCUGUCUGGUUUUUACUUUGCCAUAUUUGUCAUGUUUAUUUGUCGUUUGUUAUUUGCUUGUUUUUGGUGUGAGUAUAUGCUUGAAACAUUGAGGACAAUAUUUGAUUUAAGUGUGGGGGGGUAACUAGUGUUUUGCAUAAAAUUCGAAGAAAAUUAUCACCCAUUAUUUCUAGUGUUGUUCCUUACUGUUUUAAGUAUUUUUUUUAAGUUGUUUUGGAGUAUUCAGUGUGUUUUGACAUAAAAAUCCGAAAAUUCAUAAAAAUUUGAAAAAUUGUUUUUGAAAAUCCCAAAAAGAGUUGUUUUUGUGUGCUUAUUUGUGUCUUAGGGUACCUUCCAACACAAUGAUGAAGAUUCAGUUUGUAAUUGCAUGACUGUUAAAGAGAGUUAUAAACAUGGAUGAAAGUUUGAUUUACUCUUUAUUUAUGCAUGAUUGUGGUUAUAACUUAUGAAAUCACAUGUAAUCAUAAAAGAAAAAAAAAUAAUUUUUUUUGUAACAUGCUUGAAGGAAAGAACUCAAACUAACGCUACAACCUUGUGAGACUUGAGCCUAAAUGUUUAUUUGGAGAGUUAAAAUCUGUGCAUUAUUGUUUUCUAAAGUCGUUGCAUGAUCUCAUUAUUCUUUGCUUGGUUAUUACUUAGAAGGCGUUUCAUCAUUUAGUUCCAAAUGCUAGAACUCAUGCCUAUUUCAUUCAAAGCAUGCUAUUGAUUUGCAUAACACAUAUUCAAGAUGAAGUUGUGUAGUUACCACCACCAAAGCCAAACUGCCAUGUAUCCCAUAUUGUUAUAUGUUUAAGUUAACCCCAUUGAGCCUUGAUAGCCUACAUUCUUUGUUAAACCACAUUAUCCUUACCUAUCCUAGUUUAGGACCAUCCACCCUUGUUCUUGAAGCAUAGUGAAGUAUGAGUCAAAUUGAAUUCCUUUUGAUUAAUGUAUGGCAGAAAACAAGUGUGGGGGAAGUGAUUCUUGUGUGUGUGUGUAUGCCAAAAUCAUUCAUAAGGCACGAGUAGAAAAGAAAGAUUCGUGAAAAAUAGAAUGAAAAGAAGAUGAAAAGAAAAGGAGUUGAAAAAUAUGUGAAAAAGAGUUUUAAAGUGUUGCUUGUUGAAGAAAGGGUCCAAAACAUUGAAUUCGGCCCUAAAUAUUGCUUGAAUCUUCCCUUCGUGUUUAAAAGUUGAUUACUGCAAUCUAAGUGAAUUCUAAGUUUCCAUUUCAUUACUUUUCUUGCUAUUGCUUUAAGAACGUUUGUUAUCCCUAUCCUUCAUUUGUUAGCCAACACCCCAAGCCCGUUACAACCUUUGACUUCAAUCUUGAGUGUUAUGCGUUUCAAUUUGUGGAGUUUGAAUUUGGUAUGAGCAUAUGGUGUCACUGGUUCUCGCGUCUAAGUAAUAGCAUUCCAUUCAUGAGAUCAUAUCUAAACAUGGUUAUUAACUCCAGAAAUUGCUUUCUUUGUGAUACAUAUAUGUGAGCAUUCGUUUUCAUAUCUACAUCAAUCUUCUCACAUAUAACUAGUAUAGGGUGUGUAGUUGGAAAAUCUGAGUGAAAAUUGAGUGCAUAUCUUGUAAGGAAUUGAGCGAAUUCUCUAAGGCAUGUUACUACAUCAAAAACAUUGUUUUAAUUGAUUAAUUGUGAACUAGUAAGUGGUGACUAUGAUUAAGUAUGUGCUUAAGUGUAAAGAUGACUCAAAUCUGUGGGGAUAAUGAUUUUUAACAUGUCAUGUGCAUUGGAAAUCCUUGAGGCAAAUGUUGGAAGGUUUAGGUUGUGUUUUAUUUGUUUUGUUUCGUUUUAUUUCUUUGUUUUGCUCGAGGACUAGCAAAAGCUAAGUGUGGGGGAAUUUGAUAGGAGCAUAUUUAUGCGACUUAGUUGGCUUGUUCUUGUGCAUUUAUGUCGUGUUUCCUUAGUUAUUUUAAUGUUUAAAGUCAUUUUCGUGUGUUUUCAGACUCUAAGUACAAAGUAUGCAAGAAGAUGCAUUUUGGAGGCCUUUGGAGCAUGUUUCGAGCUUGGAAUGGAUAGCAAAUGCAUGGGCCAAGUGGAUGGACGAAUUUGAGAACUAAAGAGGCCACGAAUAUGAAGAAUUAUGGUCCAAAAGAUAAAGAAAACAGCCCAAAAAUCUGUCACCCCAACUUGCAUUCCUUGCCAUGCAAACCACAUAGAAUUCCCUUUGGAUUCCAUGCCAUGCUUGAUCACUCUUGUCCCCUACAUAAUUUCUAAUUUCAUGCUUCAAUUCAUUUAAUUAUUACACUCAAUUGCUUGAUACCUCUUGUUCCCUUCACUCAUUAGAUUUUAGACAACAUUUACAUCCAUUACAUGCACCAAUUGAUGCUCCAUCAUUCACAUUUGGAAUCCCAUGCCUUGUGUACCACAUGUUGCUGCACCUUUGACCCAUUUAUUGACACAUUUUCACCUCCCUUUCCAUCUCUAUGCAAUGUACACAAUCAUUCAUGCCCCCUAGCUACAAGACCACUCCAUUUUACCCUUCACACUUUGCAUCAUCACUUCAUUUUCACCCUUGGACCAUUGCACACCACACACACAAAUUGCCAUGCAUUUCAUCCUUAACCUAACUUGAUUUUCUAAGGUUUUUGGGGCCUAUAAAUACAUGUUUACACCCCUUGGCCAAAGAAUAAUCCCCCAUAUUCAUUAUUUUAUCACGGAAAUUCGUCCAUACACACCCUAGGAAGCAAAACACCCCAAAAACACCAUUCUAGUGCCUAGAAAACAUAACAGCCACUCCACCUUCUUCCACCCUCUUUUCCUAGUUCUCCACCACCUUCCAACCAUCAAACACUCUUCCACACUCACCCUAAACCCCUCCAUAUCAUUCCCCAUCCAUUCUACACCAUAAAUCCACCCAAAAAUCUGUCCACAAGCUUCAUGCCGCAACAAGGAGGAAGGGAGAUCCAUUGAUGCACUUGCUUUCCAAGUUGGAGCAUUUUAGGUGUUUUCUUUCCUUUGAUUUUAAUGUCUAAUUUUAUGUAUCUUUGUAUUGCAAGAAUGAGGAACUAAACCCCCUUAGUUGGGGGGUGAUUCGAAACCAUGUACAUGCUUGCAAUAUGAUUUGAUUACAUCCAGUUGUGAUUCAUAAGUUGUGAAUUCAAUUUACUUAUCCGAUCGUAUAAAAAAUGAUUUGUGUAUGUUGGUUGAGAGUGCACGCUUAAUUUUCAUGCAUGAAUUUAACGCUAGAAUAUAAGGGAGUUUCACCUAAUCGUUAUGAACUUAUAUUCACAAGUAGUGAAGGUUGCUAGUCACAAUCACGUUAAGUAAAUUCUUGGCAUAAGUUUCAUGCAAAUCAUAGUAACGAGUGCAUCGUCAAUGCUUAUGUUUUUCAUAGAACUUAAUGAUUCUUGCUUGUAUCUCUAUUAUGCAAUUCAUGUAGGGAACUUGUAGGGAAUGUUUUGGGUUGUCGUAUGCAAUCAUCCAAUCCAAUAACUUGUGGAAAAACUGAGGGUUAAUUAGUGCAAUUCACGGUUAAUUUGGGGCGUUGAGUAUUCAUAGCUUAUCGAAAAGGAAUUGGAAAUCGUUUUGUAUGCAAGUGUGACAUGUGUGGAGAAGAACCUCCUAGCUAGCCUUCCAUCCAUAAGUUUCAUUCAAAUUCACUUACAAUCUGUUUUGUUUUACAAAGUUGUUUUGUUUUCAAAUUCAUCAAAACCAAACCCCCCCAUUAUUAAAUUAUAUUAUUUAGUUAGUUUUCAUUGUUGUUAGUCUUUUAAUUCAAUUUCCGUCCAUUUCAGUUCCUAGUGUCUAAUUUGAUUGUUUUCAUUAUUUUGAGUCAUUCUAAGUGUGUUUCGAGUUAUUAGAGUUUUUAGCCUAGUUUUGUGUCCUUGAGUCUUGUUUAAUAUUUUUAAAUUAAUUUAGAAUAGAUUAGCAAUCCCUCCUAAUCCCCGGCCUAGAACGAUACCCUACUUACAUCUAUACUACAAUUGUCAAAAAGAGGGUUAAUUUGUGUGUUUAGUUAUUUUACGCAUCAGAGAGUGAAACCGAGAGAAAGAGUACGGGGAGGAAGAGAAAGAAGGAUAAUGUGUGUGUGUGUGUGUGUGGUCCACGUGGGUCACCAAAUCAAAACCACCAAAAAUCAACAUCUAAGUCUCCAAAAUAAGUCACACACACGGACCACAAGAUUCAUCGUCCCUGGUUAAAAUCAUCAUUUUACGUCACUGAGAAUAAAAUAAUACAUAUUUCUAGGACGGGCUGUGACAUGACAGUUGACAUGUGUAAACAAGCUUACUAAGUGAAUAAACUGAUUUUUUUUUUUUUUUGCUCGCUUCCUGCUCUGUUACUAUCUAAAAAAACUUAUAUUUAAUAUUAAGAAACGCUGAAAGAUUCAAAUCAUGGAUCCAUCACUGUAAACUUAUCAAAUUUCUUCAGAUGAAAUUUUAACAUUAGAUAAUAUGUAUGUUAUUAGACUAGUCGAUCAUGCAUCCGGUUCAAACGAGUGAUUUCAAUUAAAUUUAGUGAUUCAGUUAGUAUUGGAUAGUCAAAAUCACUUAUGUAAACGAUUCAUCCCAGAUCUAUCUAUUCUCAAAAUCAUUUUCGAUCAGCAUAUCUUGUUAUUAAUUUCAAAUGUACUCUUAAUCUUAUUGUCAAAUUGAAAUUUUUUUUUAUAUAAUUCAAUCCAUAUGGAUUGUUACUAUUUUUUUCCGGCGAUAGGAUUUUAUUGAUGAUUAAAGAGCAUGAUAAUUUUUGAGAAGAAUAUCCUGAAUAAUGUUAUUAGGUUCGUUACACCAACUGGAAUCGAGUCUCGGAUUAUGCAUAUAUUAGUCUCUCUGUUAAGGCUUUAAACACUUGCUGAUGUGGAGUAGUUGAGGCCAUUGGACCCCAAGUCCCAACCCUAAAGGCUAAAACACAGGAGGAUUUACUUAAUUAAUUGUCUCAUCGCAUGGCAUGUACUUUUCAAGUUUCAACCUACGGACAGACAAACACGCACACGAGCUUGUUAAGUUCUUGUUUCUUAAACGUUCGUAUGGAUGGCUGCUGCGAAGAGGUGCAUAGAUUUUGCUUUAGUCCUCGAUCAUGAAUCAUCCAUUCGAUCAAUGGUACGAAAUACGAUUAACUAUAUAAAAUUAUGCUUAUUCUUUUUGGUUUUUUCUCUUGAUUGACAUCAAUUUCGACGUCAUUUAUAUGAAUCAGAGUCCCAAAUAUUUCAAGGAAAAUUAUUUGGAAAAUUAUUUUAAUCAGAAAACUGAUUUGGAUGCAUGUUUUGUUUCCCAUGUAUUUGGGAGCAUCAAUCAAAUUCAAACUUGGAUUAGGAAAUGCCUUCUGAAACAAUUAAAGGAAAUGCUGCUGCUAAUUUAAUUUGUUCUUCGGGGUAGAUUAGGGGCAUGUUUGAGAUACGACUGCAUUUGGUAGAAAAACAUAUAAAUUUAGGUCUUUCUCUUUCAAGUGCUUUUCCAGGAAGCACAGCUGAAGUGCUGCUUCUAAUAAAAGCGCUUAUGAGGAGAAUUGCUUCUUUAAUGGUUGAAUAAUGUACGUCAAGCAUUCUGAAUUUGAUAUGUAGGUGUUCGAUAUCUGAUACAUGUUAUGUUGCCAAUACAAUGGAAUUCCAUUUCCUUGUCCGUGAUGAUUCAUUUUUGCUUGCAAUUUGGAUAUAGGUUUUACGAGCUUGUAGCUGAAGCCAUCACUGGUCGUUCAAGUAGAUUUAGGAGGUGAAUUUUACCAUGGGAAAGAAUUUGAGAGACAAAAACCCUAACAAUCCAUCAGGGAAUGAGCAUUCAUCAGGGUGCGUUUGGGGAUUACUUCACAUCAUGAAGUAUCACCACUGGCAUUAUGUCAAGAAAAGACAAGUGCACAAGAGGCGCCGCGGUAAUAGACACACUGUCGGUAAGUAAAAUGACUCCAGUCUAUAUUAUAUGAAAGUUUUUCUCCCUGCUUUCUCUUUCAUUAAAGUUUAAUCUUAGCCACUUAGGCCAUAUACGCAAAUUUUGUGCAUAAAAUCGAUCUAUGUGCAUAAGAAUCGGUCUUGUUUACUGCACUGGUAGCCUAAAUUUCGUUCACUUUUGUAAGUAGUUCAAUAGACUGGCUGGAGCUUAUGACCAUGCCAUGAUAUGUGAUGUAAAAUAAUAUUACAGUUUAUUUAUGUUGGACUUUUUUUUUUUCUUUCUGUCUGCUUGGCCGCAGGAGUUGGGAUUCUGGGAAGCUGUACUGCAAAUGCCUGUACGCCAGAAGACACAGAUGCUAAGAUUGAUGAAUCUACUGUAAGUUUCAGCAAAAGAAUUUCUGAUAGCAUGCAUUUUAGUGCAUUAUUGGAUAUUAAUUUCUUUUCGUUUUCAAAAAUAUUACUUGAAAGAGUGAUAGACAAAAGCAACAUUUGAUUUGAUUUUAUCAGGGUAAAGGAAAGACGAUGCAGUCCAUUCCAGCAGGCAUACAUUCUGUCAAGGCCCGAAUAAAAGCACGGAUUUCUGGAGAAAUAUCAAAGAAGAAGGGUAGGCUUAACCGGAGUUCAAGCUGCCCUGUACGAUCACAAUUGAAACAGCAUCAUUUCGAAGCACCACCUAACCUGCACCCGAUUGCUGAAAUGGUAUUGAAUGAGAAAAGUCCUAGAAUUGCUCACCACGGCAAUGAAAAAUCUUGUGCUACAAGCAAUCUGGCAUCACCGCCCAUGACAUCAUAUGAAGGACCAAUUAGUGACAACAAUGAUUGUUGUGGAGAUAGUUGCCCACCAAUCACUAGAGAUCGUACCGUGCAUGACCAGGUUAACGAGAAUCAAAAGGAUCACACAUUUACUGAAGAAAAGCUGGAUAAUGACAUAAUGCAAAAUAUGUUCAAGAAGAAGUUGAUAAACGUAAAAGAACUCGAUGCAGAUGCUUCCUUGCACCAUCCGAAGGAGUAUUUGGAGGCUUUGGAUAUAAUCAAUGUGAACAAGGAGUUAUUAGUAAAGAUUUUACAUGACCCCGGCUCUCCUUUGGCUGUGCACUUCAAUAAUCAGCAAGCCGUCAGUGCAAAAAUGGGUUUAACUAGGUCAGACUCAUUCCCCGUCAAACUCAGGCACAAGCAUGAGUUGACAGGGUCUCCUUUAAAAGAAGAAAGCAAGUCGAAAAACAUCAGUAAAACAAAGAAGUUAGUAGGGUCGUCUUCUUUGAAAUAUGCUGGUGAACGCUCAAUUCCAUCGAUCAGUGAGCACACUGCAGAUGGGAUUCUAGAGGUAAACCAAACAAUUGCUGAUAGUUCUAGUUCUGCUGAAAAUUGAGGAGCCGAGGUGAGAAUCAAGUGUCAAUUAAGCGGUUCAAGGAUAUUAGACAGAAAAUAAAGCAUGUAAUCAAGGAGAGCAGACAAGAGAGACAUAUGAUCGCCAUGGAUGCCAUCCUCCACAAGGUUCCUCAUGGCCAAAAGCUUGCUAAAGAAAUGGAGAAAGAGAUCAUUAACCAUUCGAAGGACCUUGCAAUGAAUAGAGAAGGUAAAGACAGUUCAGCAAGCAGUUUUGAUAGCGAUUAUUCGAUUUCUACCUUCAAGAAAAAGCAACAACGCCACAUGAGAAGAGCAUCAUCACUCAAUGCAUCGCUAGAUAAGUACUGUGAGUUUUACGAGUCUAGUUGCAACAGAGAAGCCAAAUGCCAUACAACAUCCGAGAGAUUGAAGUUGAGAAAUGAAGGGGUAGGCUCGCCUUUACGCUCUGUCCCAAAAACGUUGGGGAGGAUUUUUUCCUUGCCUGAAAUGAAAUCAUAUAACUAUCAGAGUGAGGAAUCUUCUGAUGUGUUCUCUUCAGAAUAUCAUAUGCAGCUCGAUGCGCCAGUAGAAAGUGAGAUUAAAAAAUUGGCUGAUGUUGGUGAAUUGAAGGCAGCUUCCGGGAAUAAGAUGGCAUCAACAUCAGUUGCAGACAGUGAGAAAAGUGCUCCAGUGUAUUCAAUUGUUGACGAUAUUGAAAACUUGAAAGAACCGUUUCCUAUCUCUGUGCCCGAGUUCAACGUUUCCCUCUCCGAAGGUAUGUCUUCAUUUUUAUUAAUAGGUGCUACCUUAAAUUACAUCAUCUCAAACCAAGUGCAUGCACUCUUCAAAACUUUAAUUUCUUGUUUGCUCUAAGAAACUUUAUGUUCAAUGAACCUUUAAGUCCAGAAAUUAUCAGAUUUUUUAGCUUCAAAUUUUGGCACUUACUGAUCAAACCAACUUUUGACUGAAGAAUAAAGAUCAUCCCAACUUUUUUCAGUGUAAAAAAUGAAUUAUGUUUCAAAUUUAAGUCGUUCUUCGUAUUUUCCUCCAUCAAUCACCAAUUGUUGAGCUUUUAAGACUGAAACGAUUAUGCUUAUAGAUAUCGGUUUUAUAGGAGAAGAAACGGAAAUAAAACCUAGAGAUGAACAAGAAAACUUGGCCAAGCCAGGGCAUGAUUUUGUUAUUGGUACGCCUAAGGCGGUUCACAUAGAUACAGAGAAGAUUGAAGUCCAAGGAAGCACUUGAGGUACGACAUGACUCAUCUCCGUGUUGAUGACAGAGACAUGGCUGAAUUCAAUUACGUACGAAAUGUGUUGAAGCAAUCUGGAUUCAAUGGGAAUGAGUCCCUUGGGACAUGGCAUUCGGAUGACCAGCCAGUUGAUCGUUUGAUGUAUGGAGACGCGGAGGGCUGCUUGGUGCAUGGUCUUGAUUGUUCAGGAAAUGAAGAAGGCAGGAAAUGCGAUCACUAUCUUUUGUUUGAUAUAAUCAAUGAGGUGCUGAUGGAGAUAUAUGGUAGGUCAUACAACUACUGUCCGAUGGCGUUGUCUUCGCUAUGUCACAUUCCUCUAAUGCCGGCAGGGAACCAUGUUCUAAAGGAAGUUUGGACCCUUGUGAGUUGGUACUUGAGCUUGAGACCUGAGGUUGAUCAAUCACUGGAUUAUGUUGCGAGCAGGGAUCUUGCGAAGAACGACGGAUGGAUGAACCUCCAGUUUGAUUCUGAGUGCAUAGGGAUUGAGCUGGAGGACUUAAUUUUUGAUGAAAUUUUAGAGGAAGUUCUCUGUGUUUGAGCUUGUGGAUGGAUCGGCUUUCAGUUAUCCGAUACGUUGCCAAAUCUGACAAGACGAUAUAUGUUCUAAACUAGUUUAACCUGCAGGGAAGUAGAAUCCGAAAGUGGGUGCAAAUGAUCGAGCACUCGGCCCUAGUCAAUUGGCCUAACCCACAUCUACAUGUAAUAUCAUUACUCUGAACUUCACCAAGAACAUAGAGAAAAGGAUUAGGAACAGAGAGAAUUAUUUUGUUCAUAUUCAUAUUGUUGUGCCUUGGUCCGUUCAUUAGUGCGGAAACAAGAUUCAGAUUACAACCUCACCAAAAUCACACUCGGUUGAACAGAAUAAAAUACAAGAAAUAAAGACACCGAGAAAUUUACGAGGUUCGGCAAAAAAUCAUGCCUACGUCCCCGGAGAGAUAUUGCUCUUCACUAUGAGAAUAACAGUACAAGUACACAUGAGUUAAAUCAACAUAACCCAAUCCCAAAUCCCUUGCACACCCACUCAUAGAAUUUUCCCAAGAGCCUCACUCUACCCCAAGAGUUCUUUCACUAGAAUACUUUUCACUCUAGCUCUCUUGAUUUUUCUCUCCCCCAUGCCCAUGCUUUCCCAUGGGAGAGCCGAAUGCUCUCCCCCUUUGGAUGCUCUCUCUCUCUGAUGUCUUCUCAGGAGAGAGCCGAAUGCUCUCUUUCUCUUUUUCUCCACUUCGGCUCUUUGCAAUUAAAUGGACAGAAAAGUGAGUCAACUUCUCAUUUUUUUCAUAGACACAAUGAUGAUCCAUCAUGCUCCCUUUUCUCAAAACACAAAACCACUUUCGGCAUGCAAAUGGGAAAUGAAUAAAAAAUGCCAAAACAAAGGAAUCCCAUGAAACAUCAUCAUUGUCUUCCACUAUUAGCCAAAAUGAGAUAUGGACAUAUUUGGCCACUAUUCCGAAAGCAUAACACACAGAGUCAUUUAAUUGUUAACAGCUCAAAAUAUGAGCCAAUCACAACAAUCUCCACCUUGGCGAAUAUACUGUGCAAAAAAUCCUUGCACCCAUCACCAAAGUCCAUUGGCCUUACGUACCAGUAUACACACUCUGAAUCAACCUUUUUGGUCCUGUUUCGAUUCAGUCACUGCCAAUGCAUGUGCAGCUGCUGCAAGCUAAAAAUCACCAUUUAGCUUCAGACAGUAUCUCGACACAUCCUCGUCUCCUCCAGCAGGUUUUCCUCCUUUUCAUUGUCUGCAACCUGGAAACUCGUCAGCGCGCCCGUUUGCAACAACAACCCAUCGAGCCAGACAAAAUUCCCACACUUUCUCCUACCUCAGGACCAUCUCAUCACAUGUGAAUCCCAUAGCUCCACCUGCUGUAAAACCCCUGCAACACUUGAGACUAAACAUCACCUGGAGAAGUGUUGCUUCGAGUACCUAGAGGACAUACUCAAAGUCUUCCGUCACAAACUUGCUACAACCCGGCCUUGCACUCGUAGCACUGUGGACCCUUGCCUCCGAAACCGGAUCUGAACCUGCUGUCUCUCUCAGAUCCUCUUUUCAAUUUUCUUCCACGAUUCCAACCUUUAAUAACUUAAGCAGUCUUGUGCCCACCAUCAUCCAUGGUCUCCUUUGUGUAUCAUUCAACACCAAAGAAGCUUGCACCUGCUCCAAACUUACUGUAACUUUCCAUGCAGUAAAGUUUCACAAGGUUCUCGUACGAAUCUGAAAGUGAGGGAAGAAGAAAAAGGCCUUUGUCUUCUUCCUCAACAUCAACUUUCGCAGUUGAUCCAAGCAUCCCUGAACACGGCUUCCAUUUCUUCAGGCUUCCAUUACUUUCCUUUACCAAGAGUAAAACCGCCUCUCCCAUUAAACUGCUCAACUGAAAAUUCCAUGGUGAACAACAAAUCUGGACCUCUAACAAACCAAGCCUCCAACGAUGCUCUGAUACCAAUUGUUGUGCCUUGGUCCGUUCAUUAGUGCGGAAACAAGAUUCAGAUUACAACCUCACCAAAAUCACACUCGGUUGAACAGAAUAAAAUACAAGAAAUAAAGACACCGAGAAAUUUACGAGGUUCGGCAAAAAAUCCUGCCUACGUCCCCGGAGAGAUAUUGCUCUUCACUAUGAGAAUAACAGUACAAGUACACAUGAGUUAAAUCAACAUAACCCAAUCCCAAAUCCCUUGCACACCCACUCAUAGAAUUUUCCCAAGUGCCUCACUCUACCCCAAGAGUUCUUUCACUAGAAUACUUUUCACUCUAGCUCUCUUGAUUUUUCUCUCCCCCAUGCCCAUGCUUUCCCAUGGGAGAGCCGAAUGCUCUCCCCCUUUGGAUGCUCUCUCUCUUUGAUGUCUUCUCAGGAGAGAGCCGAAUGCUCUCUUUCUCUUUUUCUCCACUUCGGCUCUUUGCAAUUAAAUGGACAGAAAAGUGAGUCAACUUCUCCUUUUUUUCAUAGACACAAUGAUGAUCCAUCAUGCUCCCUUUUCUCAAAACACAAAACCACUUUCGGCAUGCAAAUGGGAAAUGAAUAAAAAAUGCCAAAACAAAGGAAUCCCAUGAAACAUCAUCAUUGUCUUCCACUAUUAGCCAAAAUGAGAUAUGGACAUAUUUGGCCACUAUUCCGAAAGCAUAACACACAGAGUCAUUUAAUUGUUAACAGCUCAAAAUAUGAGCCAAUCACAACACAUAUAUCCUUUAGUAACUAGUGAAAUAUGAAAUUUGUAGUGUAUAUUUAAAAUUGGGGUUCACGUGUCCUGCAGUGUGAAUUUGUGAGGAGAUUUGCUUGUAACAGUUUGCUUUCUACAGUAAUCAGACAGAAAGUAUUACAUCAAUCAAAAGAAAUUGUGCAACAGAUUCUAUAAUAACAUUCCCAAAACCCCUCAGUAAGGAACUAACCCAAGAUUUUAGGCUUGAAUGUCUACUUGGUGACAUUGAGUUUCUAGCACGUAGGAUGCAGUCUGUUGUUUUCGUCUUUGUGUCUAGAGAGAGUAACAAAGCUGCUCACUUGGUGGCCAAGUAUGUAGGUGAGAAAGGAAGGGAUUUCGUGUGGGAUUGUAUUGGGCCUGAAUUUUUGUUUAAUAUCUUGGCCCAAGAUAUUAACAUUCCUAUGAGAAUUAAUAUACUCAUCUUUGACAAAAAAAAAAUCAAAAGAAAUUGUGCCAUGUGUCUCUCUCGAGUGAGAGUCUUUCUCUCUUUUUGAGAGUACUAGAAAUUGUGACCUGCACGUUGCUGUGGGGAGUGUGACUUGCACGUAGCUAUGAGAUUGAAAAUUUUAUGACAUAAUAUGGUUAAAACAUAUACAAAUCAUGUAUCCAAUGAUUGUGGACCUAAUAAUCAUAGACUCAGCAUCGAAUGCCUAAAUGUCAUCAAACCAAAGUAAACUUUCAUUUUACUAAGUUCUUAGCACUUCAGUUAAAUCUGAAGUUAAAAAAAGUAGUUCAAUUUGACUUAAAAUACACAAAGGAAGGCAGAUAGACAGAACAAACAGUUGCGGAAAAGUGUACAGUGACACUGAUCCUGCAAGUCAAAUAUGAAAAAUAUUCAAAAGAAAGUAAAAAUUCAAAUUAUUCCUAGCAUUAGUAGAUUAAAAAUGAAGAAAUAAAAUUCAUUUAAGUUUAUAUUGCUUGUCGCUUGACAAUUCAGCAUGGGAAAAAAAUGCAAGAGAAAAAUAUUGUUAAUAUCCGGUGAAGUGAAUAACAGUGAGUAUAACAUGAAUAUGCAUGUGCAUGGUAUGGAAAAAAACUGGACAAACCUAAAUCAACUAAGUUACAACACAACUACAUAUGCAAACAACGCAAAAGACUGAAUUAGGCGCAAGCCAACUAACUUUGAAUCUAACCAAAUCAGAAAAGCAAUCACAAUCAAACUAACCUCUUCUUCCCAUAUGAAGUAAAAGAUGUCUCCUAUUUUGCCUUUGCGAACAGCGCGCUUUUCACCCUUUACGCACAAAAAGAACACACUGAAAAUGCUUGACAACAUUAUAAAAGCUAUACAUACAACAUUAUAUAUGUAUUUGAACAUAAAGUAUAAAGAUUUACUAACAAAUUCAAGCUUAAAUUUAACAAAAUAAGUAAAUAUGAAUUGAAAUCAAACCAUAUCAUACUUGUUAAAAAACGUUUUUGACUAAAUUUGACAAAUAGCAUCAUAAAUUGUUCAAAAAUUAGCACCACUGAAAAAACUCAUUACUCCAAUAAAAAACGGAAUAUUGUUUGAUUUACAUUGAUAAAAUAUGACAAAAGUAGUCCACCGGAGCACCAAAAGUUUUCCUGCAUAUCCACCAUCACACAUUACUUAAAAACCAAAACAAAACACAAAAUUACACACACAUAACAAAAUUAAAUAGAAGACCAAUAAAAAAAACCAAUACAUUACGUAAAAGAAUUGUGGCAAUUAACCCAAUUUACAAUGAAAACGUUAACUGGACAGCCUUGUCGAAAAGAUUGGAUCAACAUAUUCCACAUAGGUAGUUCUUGUGGCUUUGGAUUGACAAUGGUAUUUGCAUACAAAAGAUUUAAUAAACAUUGUCCCAUUUACAUGCAAAAAAUGACAAAAAUAUUGUUCUAUUCAAUUACCUUCCAGAAAAUAAUAAUGAUAGUGAAAAUGCUUAUGUUAUUCGGUCAUAUGGCAGCUUGAAAUCGAAAUACUAAGCUCUCAAUUAACCAAAAAAAGGCAGUAACUUUGAAAAAUAUUUGACAACAUAUUACACACCAACAAUAAAAGGAUUUCCAUCAUUGUGAGAAAAAAAUCCUACAAAAAUUGGUAUUGUUCAUAUCACUAUAGAUUUAUAUCUAAUGGCAUAUAGUUUGAAGAAACUGACGACAUUUCUCCAGAGUAUUUUGAACCAAGAAAUGAUAAUGACAAAUAAGGGCUACGAUGAGCGAGAUUAUACGACUACUGAAAUUUUGGAUUGAAAGAAAUACAAUACUUGCAUAGGAAAAAGGGUCCAUCUCGAACACUCCAUAUGUAGUGGAUGAGAAACUAAGAAAGUAGCAAAAGAAAAAUUAAAUGGCAUAAACUCUAUGCUGAAUCAACACAUAACCAAACCCAUUUGAGUCUUACCUCGUGAUCAUUAACCCAACUAAUUGCCACCCACCUUAAGUUUUGCUACAUAAAUGCCCUUUGCAAGCAACCCAAAUGGAGUGGUCUCCUCUUCCAAAGUGUGCAUAUAUGGUUCUUUGUCAAGAGAAAAUGCACUCAACAUUUGCUCUAAUCGACUGACACAUAAGAAAGUAAAAACAAUUGGUACACCGGUUAGCAUAGUACUUACAUAGAGAAAAUGGUCCAUUUUCUAGACUCCAUAUGCAAUGGAUAAGAAACUAAGAAAAUAGCAAAAGAAAAAUUAAAUGGCAUGAACUCUAUGUUGAAUGAACACAUAACCGAACCCAUUUUAGUCUUAUGUCGCGAUCAUUUGCCCAAAUAAUUACCAGAUUUCCAAGUGAUAAAUCAAAUAUAUAACUCUUACUAUCAUGCACUACCAUUCCAAAUUACCAUGUCAAGAGAAGGGAAAGGAACAUUGUGAGGUGAAAAAUAUAACUAAGGGCAGAGUAGAAUUAAUCAUUUUGAUGUUCCUGUUAAUUAUGUCUAAAAGAAUUUCCAUAUCCAGUGCAUUCUUUCUCAUAAUUGACACAAAAGAAAAAAAUAUACGGCCAUGUUCAUGUACUUCAAAGAGGAACAACCAUAUACCUGAGUUUUUCAGAUCAUUAGUCACCUUCUUCCCAAAUUCCCUGAACAUAAAAUUCUCUUGCGCUCGUUUGUUUCAUGUUGUGCCUUGCUCCCAUUCAGAUCCUUCUAUUUCUCCUAGUUGAAGACUCUAAGUCAAGUAAAAUCAAACAUUUAAACGACUCAUCUCUCACCUGAUUGAUUGGUACCAAAUGAAGGCUAUUAAUACUUAUUUGUAAUUUAAUUAGCAAAAAAAUUAAAAACGCUUGAAUGAAUUUAACAAAUCGGUGAGCUACAGUAUGUAAGUAAUUAGUACUCUUGACAAUACCUGUUGCUUAUCCAAGAUAUAAUUCAAUGUCAAAUCGAAAUCAAAAUUAAUAUGAACUAAUUUAAAUAAGUGCAAGCAUUGAUACCUCAAUUGAAUUUUUUCUUGCCGAAAAACCUUGACCUUCAAAACCAAAUUACCUUUAUCAACGAAAAUGAAUCAAUUUAAGAAAGCCAAUACAAUGUAAAAAAAUAGCCAUUCAAUUCAGAUGUAUUUAGAUUAUACAAAGGUCCAUUCAAACAACCAUAAAGACAAAAAAUGAAAAUUUGAACAACCAACCUUUUCCAAAAACCACUGGUCCCACCCUUCUAACCUUUGAUUGAUCCAGUAAGAACCAAAAUAAUCUUAAAUGAAAAGAAACCCUAUUAAUUAACCUUCAAUAUCAGAAUCUAUAAUCACUUUCUUCAACUAAAUUGACUUUUUUGUUGGAAAACCCCACAAAACCCAGUUUACUUAUCCAUUUCUAAGGGAAUUGACAUACAUGCUUACGUUUCUCACCACUAGUCUGAUGCUCCACUUAUAUCCUGACUCAUUUCCUUGCAAACUGUCGUUUGAUUGCCAUAAGUGUCUAGUAGAAUUUUUUUGGAAGCUUGUAACUUUGUUUCAUUACUGGUUGUAAAUUUAUGCAGAAUACCGAUUGGAUUAAAAGGUAUUAAAUUAAUGACGUAUAAAAUUAGAAAAAACAAAUAGACACAAAAAAGGGACCGAAGUUCCACAUAUGGUGCAAGUUCAUAGAUUAGAACUUACCACUUGAAAUGUCUCUAGGAAUUUUCCGAGUUGGUGUUCAUGUUGCUUUUCAUCAUUCAUUCCAUCAAGCAUUAUAUACUCAAUGAAGAUUUUCUGUUGACUAAAGAGUCAGAUUAAAGAGCAAUAACGAGAUUUUCUAAGAUUGUAAAACAACAGUAAAGUUUCGUUGUAAACAAAUGAAAGCUCAAAGAAUUUACUAAAGGAAAAGCCCAAGCUGCAGCCGUUAUCUGACAAUGAAUUUCUUGGACUGCUGCAUGAAGUAAAAUUGCUAAUUUCAGACCUGGAAGAUGGCAAUGAAACUUUCCAUAUUUCUUUAAUCCAAAUUUUUAAAACUAAAAUCAUAAAAAAUUGAAUAAAGAAAAAAAAUCAACUUUUUUGAGCUAACCAAUCGCCAGUUUUUGAGUGCCUACUCAUGGAAGGAACUUCAAAAGUGGGAGCCAAAUGCAUAGCAGGUACUCUUUCACUCUUUCCCUAGGUUCUGUCCACUGACUCUGGCUUGUAAACAAAAACAUUAUGAACAGAAAAAUUUGAAAGAUGUUGUAGAACAGUGGAUGUCCACUCAAAUAAUUAAAUAAUUGGCCCUUCCUUUUGGUUGCUGAAGCUUGCUACACACUACUCCCAUUUUCUAUAUAAAUACAAACCCCACACAACAUCAAAGUGGGAAGACUCACGGGAGAGAUAGGAAGGAAGAAAAAGGAGAGAAAAGAAAGGAAGAAGAAAAGGAGAGAAAGAGAGAAAGGAGAGGAAGAGGAGAUGAGAUAAUGGAGAGAGUUAUCUUUGUAUUUCUAUUAUUUCAGAUUAUAAUGAAAGCACCACUGCUGCCCCAAGGACGUACUCCAGUCACAUUGACUGUAGAGGAACCUCGUAAAUUUGUGUCUUGUUUAUUUAUUCCAUUAAACACACCAUCGAUUUUAUAACACGUUAUCAGCACGAGAAGCUCUCAUGUCAGUGGAAAGCACAACGCCACAAAUCCUGUUCACAUCUGUCGCUUGGAAUCUCACAGAUAAGAAAAUUUUUCAUGUCAUCUUAAAAUCUUUGUACUACUGAUUUUCCUGAAGCAAAUAUAUAUAUGUUGUUGCAUGACUGUAUAUCAUUCUUUGCAGAAGCAAAAGAGUACAAACUCAAAAUUCGUAGAGAAUUUGACAGCCAUGUAAACAGCCUCGGAACUCCAACUUGCGGACCUCGGAUUGAAAUACGUUCUUCUUGAAAGUUGUUCAUCCACUCAUUAUCUACAACAUAUCAAAAUUUCCGAAAACUUUAACGGUGCGAUCGUCGCAGAUGUCUGAAUACCAAACCAGUUUCCACCUUCCGCAUAAAACUGGAUAGCCACCUUAUGAGUACCACAACUUCAUUUCUGUAGCUCAAAUCGAAAUUGUUUCUUCACGAAAGUUAUUUGGUAUCCUCUUAUCCAUAUCAUACUAAAAUUUGAACUAAAUCUAACGGUUUGAUCUUCUCAUAAGUUGCAGACACUCUUGACUCCAAAACUUAUGGGAACCGUUUCGACUUUUUCGAAACUCACUUCAGGAGGAACACCAAUUGGAACUUAUUAUUACUAUUAUUUACUGAGUAACCAAAAUGACUUCAGAACUGUGAAAUAAAAAUAAAAAUAAAAGGAAUCAGACAAAAGAAGUGGCAAACCAAGAAAAAUAAAAAGCAAAAGAUGAGGACUUAAUCAUUGCAUUUUCUGUUUUGGCAUAUUUAUGUGCAUGGUGUUGGUUUAAAUCCCAUGUCACAAGUUCUAUUUAUUUAAAGCAAUUUAUUUACAGUGGGUAGAAUUAUUAUCCUUUGCUUUAAAGCUUUGAUAUUUAUGAGAAGGGUGCUGAAUCAAAGCCCUUGUCACAAGCUUUAUUUACUUAAAAGCAAUUUAUUUACCAUGGACGGUUUUACGACCUACUGCUUUAAGUUUUGAUUUAUGUGAAUGAUUCUUAAUUAAAGCCUUUGUCACAAGUUUUAUUUACUUAAAUGUAAUUUAUUCAUUAUGGCUGGAAUUACCACCUAUUACUUUAAUUUAUUUAUUAUACUUAUCUUUUGUUACGACGAAUAUAUACAGUACCUGAACUUCCUUGAUCAGAUCAGAACCUGUAGUUUCUUGAUCCUCAACAUAUAAAAAUGAUUGGACCUGAAGUUCCAUCACACAAAAAGAUCAGACAUAAAGUCCCUUGAUCCUGAAGAUCAGGACAUGAAAUUCCUUGGUGAGUAUCGUAAGUUUAAAGUGUCAUAGUGGCUCAACUUAAUUGUAAUAAAAGCUAUAAGAGUCUCAGUCUACAGACUAUUUAAUAAGGACCAGAAGUUCCUUAUGUCCAUACUCAAAAUGGUUUAGCAGAAUCAUUUAUUAAGCGGAUGAAAUUGAUUACCUGUGCUUUGCUCAUGAAAAUGAAAUUGCCAGUUUUGACAUGGGGACAUGUCAUUUUACAUAAUUCAUUAUUAAGUUUGGUUAAGACUAGUUGCCAACCAUCAAUAUUUCUUAGUACAACUCGUGUUUGGGCACUAGCCAAACAUUAGCAUUUCGAGUUUUUGGUUGUGUUAUCUAUGUGCCUGUAAGAUUGCCAUAACGUACGAAAAUAAGGCAUCAAUACAAAUUGGGAAUUUAUGUUGAAUUCUGUUGAUGCACAAAACCGGAGGGGUCUUGGAACAACGUAAAUCCGACCAUGAAUCUGCAAGAAAGUAAAGAACACAAGAUAUAUCGUGGUUCACCCCAAUGUUUGGGCUACGUCCACACUGAUAUUGUAUUUCUCUGUUUGUGAGAGGAUUGUGAGAGUGAGAGAUUUGAAUAUGAAAGUGAGGCUUUGGGGAUCUCCGGCCCCUUCUUUAUGAGGGUGAGGAGUCCCUUUUAUAGACUAAGGGCUCCUCACUUAUUACAUAUUUACCCCUUCAUUUAUUACAUAAUUACAUUUGAGUCCCCCGAGUAUUUAUACGAGGUCUAAAUACGGAGGCCCUAAGUAUGGUACAAACAGUAGUCCCCCAAGUCUUCAGUCAAGAAAGUCUUUUGGUUGGAGACUUGAAAUUCAGUCCAUGUGUGGGCUAAAGUAACUAGAUGUCGUCUAGAACUAAAUACUCGAUAUGAGGCGGUGCUCAAUGUGAAAUGAUGCUCAACUAAAUGUAGCACAUGUUGCAAGGCUGCUCGGCUUGUGGCUUAUGUUGCCUUGGUUGGCUUGGCUUGUGGCGUUGAAGGUAAGGGAGUCCCUUUUAUAGAAUAAGAGCUCGCUCCUCAAUACAUAAAUGAUGGGUUAGAGUUGAUGUUCGCGGCGAAACGGUUGCUUAGCAGGCGGCGAUGCUCUCUAAUAAUGAUGAGGGAGUCCCUUUUAUAGAAUAAGGGCUCGCUCCUCAAUACAUAAGUGAUGGGCUAGAGUUGAUGCUCGCAGCGAGGCGGUUGCUCAGCAGGCGGCGAUGCUCUCUAAUGAUGGUGAGGAAGUCCCUUUUAUAGAAUAAGGGCUCGCUCCUCAAUACAUAAGUGAUGGGCUAGAGUUGAUGCUCGCGACGAGGCGGUUGCUCAGUAUGCGGCAAUACUCUCCAAUGAUGGUGAGGAAGUCCCUUUUAUAGAAUAAGGGCUCGCUCCUCAAUACAUAAGUGAUGGGUGCUUUCUAAUGAAAGUGAGGGAGUCCCUUUUAUAGAAUAAAGGUUCGCUCUUCAAUACAUGAAUGAUGGGUUAAAUCCCCCAAGUAUUUUUCAUGAAGCCCAGUUGCGGAAGCCCAAUACAUGGUACAUAGUGUAGUCCCCCAAAUCUUUAGUUAAUAGAGUCUGUUGGCUGGAGACUUCAAAUUGAAUCCAUGUAUGGGCCAAAGUGGCAGUUGUUCAGAGGCGGUAUUUGUAUACCCUGCAUUGAAGCUUUGUAGGUGAAGCUUUGCAAGUGAAUCUUUGAAGCUGGAGCUUUUGUAAAUGAAGCUUUUGAAGCUGGAGCUCUGUAAAUGAAGCUUUCGAAGCUGACUGACAUGAGUGAUGCUCAUAAAUAUUUAUGUUGAUUGACAUGAGUGAUGCUCAUGGAUGUUGACAUGAGUGAUGCUCAUGAAUGUUGACAUGAGUGAUGCUCAUGAAUGUUUAUGUAUGAUUGACAUGAGUGAUGCUCAUAUAUAAUUUUGGAGUACUGGACGUACUUUUGAUCACCUAGUUGGUGAUAAUAGCGGCAGGCUGCCGAAUAAUUUUGGAGCACUGGACGUACUUUUGAUCAUCUGGUUGGUGAUAAUAGCGGCAAACUGCCGAAUAAUUUUUUGUAGUACUGGACGUACUUUUGAUCACCUGGUUGAUGAUAAUAGUGGCAGGCUACCGAAUAAUUUUGUAGUACUGGACGUACUUUUGAUCACCUGGUUGAUGAUAAUAGCGGUAGGCUGCCAAAUAAUUUUAGAGUACUGGACGUACUUUUGAUCACCUGGUUGGUGAUAAUAACGGCAGGCUGCCGAAUAAUUUUGGAGUACUAGACUUACUUUUGAUCACCUGGUUAGUGAUAAUAGAGGGCCUGGCUCUUUUGGGCAUAUGGGCCUUCGCUCUCCACAUAACAUUCCAGCCCAUUAUUUUGGGCUUGCAGAUUUUUUUUAAAUUUUUUUUAUUACCCUUUAAUGGGGUUAUACAGAUGUCUCCGAAAGAUAAAAAAAAAAUAAAUUACAUCAUUCAAAAAAUCUGUUGUAGAAGGUGGGUAUGGCAGAUGGUUGGAUAGUGGGAUAACAUGUGCAGCGGGCAGUUGCUUUUGCAGUGUCCCUCAUGUGCUACUCAUCAUCGAAAACAAGCUUUACGUCUUGAGGCUUCCCCUUAUUCUUUGCAAUGUCACCCAUGUGCUACCCAUCCUCGAAAACAAGCUUUCUUGAGACUUCCCAUUGUUCUUUGCAGUGUCACCCAUGUUGCUUUGCAAGGUCAUCUUUUGCUUUUCUUGAUAUGUGAGUAGAUGCACCACUGUAAAAUGCUCAAUAAUUUCUCAUUAUUGCAAACUGCUGCAACAACGUGACUCUUAAAACUCUUUAGCAAUGAUGUAUCUUUUUGCCCUUCUGGAAAAGGCUCUGUCGGUUCAGCAUCAUCUUCACAACAUCAAGUGGUCAGAUGAAGACUCCAGCAGCCCAUGCCAAUUUGAUUCAACACCGGAACAAUCCUCCAAAUGCUGCAUGCGUUUCUUACAUAGACCAAUGAAUGCAGAAAAUUGUAGCGGUACACUCUCAUGGCUUCUAAUAUCACCAUUGAAUACAGGCGCUGAAUUAGAUAGCAUAGCUUCCACAACACACAAUCUAACUCGUUCCUGCAAAUAAUCGAGACUGUCAUUACAUGGAUUCCAAUUGGAGAAAGCUUUCCAAUCUUUGACGCAGCCGCUGAAAACGGAGGGAACGUUCUCGGAUUCGAUCCGAGAUGCGAAGUCUGUGGCCGAAGGAACUUCGUUCAAUCUUCAAACUCACAGAGAUGACUCCAUUGAUACGCUGAUUUGCUCUCCGACUUACUAAGCUCGGUGAACUAGCACACAACCAUAGCAGGAGAACGAGAGCAAGAGAUAAAUGAACUUGAUGUCUUCUGUGUGGGCAACAAACUUUUGGGUUAACCUGCUGUCAUUUGCGCUGAUCUUUUCUACCGCAUAAACUCCCCCCAACACCCUUCAAAGCCGCAAGAUUGAAUCUUUUUUACCAACCCAAAUUCCUGAAUCACCAACCUGAUUUGGUUCCUCAUAAUUCCAGCAUUUCCUUCACUGACCCCAAACUUUUGGGUUUAAAUUAAUGUGCCCCAACUGACAGCCUUCCCAAUUUCACAGAAACGUCAGAAGACUCAUCGGAGGAAGUUACAGAGAGAGUCCGGUGAUUCUUCGAGAAGAAAUCCAGGCCGCCUUCAUCGGAGUUCUUCAGCAUCAAGCUCAAGCUCUGACCUUGUCGGUGCUACGAAUAUGCUUCCUAGGAAUAUGUUUCCCACAAACUUCACCGAUCGCUGGAAUAUACUUCCCGGCUUAGCUCUCGUCGAUUAUGUAAAUGGGUCGGGUUUUGAACGACGGGUCAAGCUCAAUGAACUUCGUGAUCGCGGCAAAGAAGUGUUUCACGAUGGUGACUUGGUCUCUUGAGAUCUUCGCUGAGUUAGCGGCGAUGCUAAAUCCGGUACCGAUCGGGUUGUCGAGGAAGGUCAUGCCAAAGAUUCUGUUCCAGGAGGCGGAAUUGGGUUCCAAGGCCAGGGGGUCAUAAGGGUUUUUAUGGAAAUUUCACGAGCUAGGGGCCGAGCUCGUAGAAGUUACCGAGCAUGGAGGAACAGCCGGGGCCGCCUAGAGUCAGAAAAUGUCCGUUGUGAGGUUUUGAGCUUUGUAGAAAGUGUAGAAAAUGGCAGAGCCGCUGGUGGGAGCAGAGGAUUAUGAGGAAAGAUAUGAAAAUGGCUUGCUUCUUUGACGACAUUGCUCAAAUGGGUUGAAGGAGGAUGAGAGAUUUUGAGGUGUUUAUUUGGUGGAACAGGUGCUUAGUUCUUGGGUUUAUGCGGAUUCACGGUGGAGUGUGGUGAGGUCUCACGUUGGUGAGAUGAAAAAAUUGAAAGAGAACCGACAUAGCUUUUCAUGUCGAUUUCCUACAAACGGCGCCAAAUGUUGAUGCACAAAACCGGAGGGGUCUUGGAACAACGUAAAUCCGACCGUGAAUUUGCAAGAAAGUAAAAAACACAAGAUGUAUCGUGGUUCAUCCCAAUGUUUGGGCUACGUUCACACUGAUAUUGUAUUUCUCUAUUUGUGAGAGGAUUAUAAGAGUGAAAGCUUUGAAUAUAAGAGUGAGGCUUCGGGGAUCUCCGGCCCCUUCUUUGUGAGGGUGAGGAGUCCCUUUUAUAGACUAAGGGCUCCUCACUUAUUACAUAUUUUCCCUUUCAUUUAUUACAUAAUUACAUUUGAGUCCCCUGAGUAUUUAUACGAGGUCUAAAUACAGAGGCCCUAAGUAUGGUACAAACAAAUUUGAUCCACCAUCUAUCAUUCAACAUUUGGAACCCUUGACUGGGGAUAUAUUUACCGCAUGAUUUGCAGAUUAUGAUUUUGAUAAGACAAUUUUCUCGUCAUUAGGGGGAGAAAAUAACAUUGUUCCAGAAGAACGAUGAGAAAAUAUCAUUCUAGAAAAAUGAUAAAAAAAGACCGUUCCAAAAGAACGAAGAGAAUUUGUCUUAUUUUGAUUCACAAAGCAAUCAAUAUGAAAAUGAAGUAAGAAUAAUUGAAUGAUGCAACGAAAGUGAUGAAAUCAUAUAUACUUGCUGCAAAUGUGCCUACAAGAAUUGAUGUCCCUGUUGGACAAAAUAAUAUGACAGUAAAUUAUUUAUCUAUUGCAUGCCUGAAGCGUGGCAUACCCUUAGACUCAAAAGGUUCAUUCAUUCGAAAGAGGAAGAAUAUGGCACUCCUAAACUAUUGGAUUCACGAAGCAUAACUGUUGCAUGUCAGAAGCAUGACAGUCGCCGCAUGGAUAUACGACAAUCCGCAGAUAUGGGAAUGUUGAUGUCUUAUGCAUGAAGCAUGAUAGACAUAUAGGUUCUAAAUGACUCAACUCCUGGAAGUAUUUUUUUAAAAUCCAAGCUCUAUAACGCUCUAGAGGAAGUUAUGAUUCGCAUUCUCUAAAUUACGACUAUCCUGGAAGAGAUAGUGUAAUGCUCUUGAAGAGGCAAUGGAUAUCCAAAGAAAUAAAAAGCUUUUAUGCAUGCGCAUGCACAUGAGAAUAUGGGAUCACGGAUUGAUGAUAACCAAUAGUAAUUUUGGUUUUUAUAAGUAGCUACUAAAUUCAUCAAUGAGUUGUGUUGAUAUUGAGUCUCGUUCUUUUUCAUCAACAAAAUUAUUGGCCAAAAAUGGAGAAAAGCAAUUCCAUUACGCUUACAUGAUAUGACAUUACUAAUUAUACUCUUGUAAACGAGUUCAUAUGAAUGGAGAAUUAUAUACGAAGGGUUGUGAGUCACCCACAUCAUAUCUCCAUAAGUAAAUCCCUCAAGUAUACAUGGGAGCAAAUUGCUUUGUAUAAAUUCCAAAGGAAAAUGUGUCAUGAAGUGUAAAAAAUCCCUGAAGGAUUCAAAUUGCUUGAAGUAAGCCCCCGAAGGUUAAAGCAUAAAUUAUGUACUCAAUACCAAUGGAUGGUAUAAAUUGCCUUAGUGAGUACUAUCAUUAUGAUAUUGUUGCAACAUACUAAAGUCUCUUACAAGAGUCAAUGACAUUAAAUUAGAACUCCUGAAGAGUUGAUGAUAUUAAAUUGGGACUCCUGAAGAGUCAAGAAAGAUUAUAAAGUGCUGAGAGAAAUAUUGUCUCAAGCUGCAGAUCGAACAAUCUACCAACACGAAUCUUAUCCAUGAUGUCUAUGAUAUUAAAAGAACCAUAUGGAUUGAAGAUUAUGAGUUGAAUACUCAAAUGAUGUAGACACUAAGAAAGAUCAUUUAUCUUCGUGAGGGUAAAGAUAAAUUAAAGUUUGGUCCAGAAGUACCACAUCUUAGUGUGAAGUAUAUGCUUUAUUGUAUUUGGCACAAUACACUGAAUGAAAUAAAGCUUAUCUAUUAAUAUUUCUGAGAAAUUACAGAUAUGUGCAUACACAUGAGUUAAAACAAAUAAACAGGAUAGAGCCUUCACAAAGGUUGCUCAUGUGAAGCCUCAGUACUCGGAAGUACCCCAUAAUGAGGAAGCACUGGAAAUUGAUCAUGUGGCACCCUAGUACUCAGCAAAACACCAGAAAGGGAAAGCAUCGGUUGCUUUCGAAAUCUAGCAACGAACCUUUGGUGAUCACUUUAAGUUCGACUUUUGGAUUCCUGCAGCUGGUCGAGCUUUCUUUUCAUGCUCGUAGAGUAAUUAUUUGCAAGCACGUGCAACACUCUAUUCUCGUGCUUGAGCCAUCUGAUCUCUUGUUUAAGACUUGCCACCUCAGCCAUCAAUGAUUCAACUUGGCGAGUUUGAACAAGUAGGCGUUGGCCCAUAUUGGAAAUAGAGCCAGCACACUGAACACUGAGAGCCAAAGAGUCUUGAACGGCCAACUCAUCAGACCGUUUUGAAAGGAUUAUGUUAUCCUUUGGAGUAAGAAGAUUCCUAGCUACCACAGUAGCGGUUAUGUUAUUCUUCAUCAUAGAGUCCCCAACUGUAAGAGGACCAUUAAAAGAUAAGAAGGACAUGCACCAUAUGUUAUCCUGACGUUGCUAGUCUGUAUCACUCCUAAGACUCAAAUCUAAGCAAAUGUUAGAUGGGCAAGCCAUUCUUAGAAAUGAUGAAGAAAAAAAAAGGUCAAAUAAAAUCUCAGAAGUGCAAGUAGGGGAAAAUUUCUACAUGCAGCAACUUUUUAAGCAUACUCUUGAACAUAAUUGAUGUCUUUAUAAAAGAAGAGGCAGUAGAGCCACUUGUUUAGAGAUCGAAGAUGCACUGCUCUCCGAAUUUCAAAAGCCAGAUUUUCCUGAAUAAAGUUCGUUGGCAUUUUCAGAUGCAAUCUCAGCUUUUUCUGUUAUCGCGUGCAACUUUGUCAAAGAUCUUUGAAAAAUUUGAAAACGCGUAAAUCUUACUGUUCUAAUUACACCACAGUUGCUAACAAGAGUAAAGGCACAACACCACUACCUGCUAUUAGGAAAUCCCUAUAUAUGUCGACCUUCAUCGUCCAUGGCAAGGCACACAUCCUAAACUCCUAACUUUUUCUCAUCUCCGAGAAUGCAUCUUCAACAAAGCAUCUCGAAAUACUCAGUUUUCUUUCUCUCUGAGAAUACCUAUUCAAACAAGUCACACCAGAGCAAGAGUCUCUCAUAUCUUCAGGGACGAGGGACGAGAGUAAGAGUAUCUCAUAUCAUGCAAUCUUUAUGUCUUUUCUUUUUUCCUUGUUCUUACCUGCAAAGAUAAGGAUAAAGAAAGCAAUAUGUCGGAACCUCCACUCAAACUCCCGGUAAGGAACUGACUACUUGGAACCUUUCCUGAUUGCUUACCUAAUAUUGCUCUCGAAUAGCCAUCUUCAACUGUUGUUGAAGCUGGGUCUCCAGUCACCAAGAAGUGAUGAACCAUCCAAAUGCAAGGGUUGCAUUCCACUCCUGCAUCAGAAGGCAAAUACUGCAGGAGAAUAUGCCACACAUGCAUGGGGAAAACCAGGGAAAACCAGGGAAAAUACUACUUAAGCAAGGGAAGCAAGUAAGGCAAAUGAAAAUGAUACAUUGAAGCAUGUGGAGACAAGCGCAACAAACACAUGUUGAUUCAUCCCCGACAAAGCCGAAGAUCAAUUGCCACGUGAAGCUUCUCACGGUACAACUUCAUUCAAGAUCAAGUUUCGAAGGUCCUUGAAGAAAUUACAAGUUCGAUUCAAGAUCAAGUGUCCACCACCUUUGAAUUAAAUUUAGCUCCAAAUAGAAGAAGUAAAUUCAGACCUUUGGAGGAAAUCUAGCAGAAGGCUCUUCAGCCCAGUUCAAGAACAAGCCUGUGGAAAGUUAAUAACAAGCAAAAUACCUCUUUCGGCAACUCUUUUUGCUAAGAAACUGAAGCAGAAUGAUUAACGAUCAGUCUAAAUGAUUUGAAAUCAUGGGGAAAUACUCAUCAGGGGGAGCAUUCAAAACAGAUCAAGAUUUUAACUAGUCAAUCGAAGACUUGUGGCCAUCCAAGGGGGAGUGUUGUAGAACAGUGGAUGUCUACUCAAAUAAUUAAAUAAUUGGCCCUUCCUUUUGGUUGCUGAAGCUUGCUACACACUACUCCCAUUUUCUAUAUAAAUACAAACCCCACACAACAUCAAAGUGGGAAGACUCACGAGAGAGAUAUGAAGAAAGAAAAAUGAGAGAAAAGAAAGGAAGAAGAAGAAAAUGAGAGGAAGACAGAAAUAAGAGGAAGAAGAUAAGAGAUAAUGGAGAGAGAUAUCUUUGUACUCAUAUUAUUUCAGAUUAUAAUGAAAGCACCACUGCUGCCCCGAGGACGUACUCCAGUCACACUGACUGUAGAGGAACAUCGUAAAUUUUGUUUCUUGUUUAUUUAUUCCACUGCACACACCGUCGAUUUUAUAACAAAAGAAACAGGCCCAAAAUUUUAGCAUGCCAGAUGAGAUUAUAAAUGUUAUUAAAAUGAGUGGCAAUAGAAUGCAGUGCAGAUUUUUAGAUGGUGAUAUUAAUCUACUGCUUUUAUCUAUGUCAAUAUUGUGGAUGCAAAUUUCUUCCUCUUUGAUCUUGAACAAAAUUUAUUCAUGCUGGAAGUCCUUUUUGGAAGGCUGCUCUAGUUAUUGAGUCAUUAGAUCUGACUAUUCUUGCCUUCUCUACUUUGAACCUCCUUACAUAGUCGCGAAGCGACUCCUUUGGGUUCUUCUUGACGUCGAACAAAUGGUCGGACUUCUUUUUGAUCGAUCGAUAUGAUGAAUAUUCUUUGGUGAAAACCAAAGAAAUUUCGUCGAAAUUCCGGAUGGAUUGUGGCAGCAGGGUGUAGAACCAAUCUUGCACCUUGCCUUGUAGAGUGGUGACGAAUAUCUUGCACAUGAGAUCAUCGUUGUUUCGAUAUAGGAUCAUUGCGCUUCGGUAAUGCUUUAAGUGUUUCUACGGGUCUUCAUCCCCUUUGAAAGAUGUGAAAUGUGGCAUGCUGAACUCGCGUGGAGGCUCUGUCUGCUCUAUUUCAUCCGUGAAGGGUGACCUGCUUAUGUUGGUCAUGUUCCAUCAUAGUGCCUUGUUGAUGACCUCGUUGCGUUGGAAAUUGCGUAAUCGUUUGGUCAAGAGUGUCUCUACUUCUUCCUGAAUUUACCUUUGUUAAGGUAAUAGGGCUCUCAGUUGCCCCCAACCGUUACUUGCUGGUCUAAGCUGCUCUUCCAUGUGUUUAGCUCGUCUAUGCCGCGGAUGCGAUGUGUGUAGCGCAUUACUAGCAGGCAAGCGAAUUCUUCACAGGCUGCCAAUUAAACUUGAGCCGGAUUGAGUGAUUGUUUCUCUCCGUCUGUCGUGCUGCCUACUCCAAUAUAAGGUGGAGGAUGCUCCUUGCAGGCUUAGCCGCGAAUAAACACUUCACCUGAAAGGUUGCUCAUGUUGACUAUCGGAGUGUGACCCCAACUGUGAAUGUAUGCUCGUCUGUGGGCCUAGUCGAUAGUGCACGCUUCUCUGCACUCUAAGAUGGGAGUAUACGCUAUCUCGAGGGCCAAAUCAUGAUUGUACACUGCCUGAACGCUCGGUUUGUGGCUGGUCGAGUGGCUGCUUACCGAGAUGCUGCUAGAGAGGUUCUUUGUCUGCCUUUGUCCUACUUCGAGACACCUCGUCUAGGGCACGUUGCAUCUCGGUGCGUUGCAAGAGCUGGUUCACCAAAGUCGUCUGCUAUGUGAGGGCGUUCGUCAACUCUAUGACUUGUCGAGAUAAGUGUUGUUCUCCAUUUGGGUUGGAAUAGCUUGGAAUGAAUGCGUCUUCUUGAGCAGUGGAAGUGUGGUAGACUCCGAACGCGAGAUUUGAGUUGGGAAAUGCCAAAUCCGUAGAAAAAUGUGGUGAAAAUGCUCUUGGUUCGAUCGUCAGUCUGGAAAUUUGAAGUCGGGAUAGUUGAACUAAUCUUGGAUCGAUUUGGGCUACUUGGAAGGCCAUAGGAGCAAACUGGGCUGUGGAAACAGGUUGGGCCACGAGAGUGGGCUGCUCGACUGGAGCAAGCUGGGCCACAGAAGUGGGUUGCUCGACUUGAGCAGGCUAGGCCACGGGAAUGGGUUGCUCGGCUUGAGCAGGCUGGGCCACGGGAGUAGGCUGUGUCACGAGAGUGGACUACUCGGCGGGAGCAGGCUGGGCUACGAAAGUGGGCUGCUCGGCGGAAACAGGCUGCUCGGAGUGUGAUACAUAUAGGUGCGAGGCUUGGGCUCGGCUUGGCAACGCGUUGAGUUCGCGUUGGGCUUGGAGUGACAUGGCUUGGGUCGUGGCCUUGGUGCCAUGAGCCUUGGAUGGCACGGCUCAGGCCGUGGUAGCGGUGUUAUGGACCUCGUUGCGAGUAGUGAUGAUCGUGGUGGCCACCGUGGUGGUUGCCAUGGUGGAGCCCCAUAGCAAUGGUGCUGCUCCUAUGAUCACAUUUAGCCUCGUGGAUCGUCGUGGUCCCAUUUCUUGAAUAUUGGAAUUUUCACUUGUGGAAUUUUCUAAAUUUCUAGCCAUUGUAUUUCUCUUUUACAUUUUAUCAAAGAAUCUUUGCAAAUAAAAAAUUCUAAUAAUAAGAACGUACGAAAAAUCUACAAAUGGACAAGAAAAUAGAAAAACCUUUUGAUGCGGGAGUCUUCUACGAGUGGGUGACUUUUUUCUCAAUGAAAACACCAAUUUAUGGAUACAAAUUUCUUCCUCCUUGAUCUUGGACACAAUUGCACCUACAAAACAAUUAACAUCUUAGGUCAAAGCCAAGAGCCUCACGCACCCACGAUGAAUGGGGGGGCUUUGGCCGAAGAACCUCUGAUGCCAAAGUUAGAAUUUAGAGAGAAAAAAUGUUUAAGAAUUCUAGAGAAUUUUAGCAAGAGUUGGAAGUCAUUUUUGGGAGAGAAUGGUGAGCUAUAUAGAGGGAUAUGGUCGGCCCUAUUAGGAGAAUAGGGAUCGGCCAUUUAGGUAUUUUUUGGGUGUAAAUUAUGGUUAAUUAGCCAUUAAUAGAUUAAUUACGUAUUAAAUCUAUUAAUUGACUAAUUUACAUAUUUUGAAAGAAAUUAUUUGGGGAAUUAUGGAAUGAUUAAGAUAAUUAGCUAAUUGAUUAGCUAAAAGAGGGAAAAUGAGGUAAAAAAUAUAUGGAAUGAAAUAGGUUUUGGGAGUUACCUUGUAAAAGGGGUUUGAUGAGAUAGGUUUUGAAUUGUUACCUAUUUUGAGCACUUUUGACUUGGUUGAGGGAUGAUUACACGUUGCUCACGCGUAGGAAUCCCGUUAUGCCUCAAAUGUAUUUUUGUCCUCUUUUGUCCAUAAAUCCACAUGUCGCCUUGUGAUUGUUUUUGCCUCCACAAAUAUCUCCUUAUGAAGAUGUUAAUGCAGUAGGAAGGAAAAUGAAGAAAUGGGAUUUUGGAGAAGAGGGUAGCUCGGGCGGAGGAGGAGAAGAGGAAGCAGAUGGAGAGCCCCGUCGGGAAGAGAUCGGGUAGCGUUUGGUUGGUUUCCCCAGUCCAGAUUAGGGAGCUGGAAAAAAAAAAUCUAUCACGUCAAGUUCAAGCCUUCACUUACCACAAAGUAUUGUGUGUAUACUAGGCAUUCAUGUGGCUUCCCUUGCUCAUCCUCUGAAAUUAAAUACAACAACAACAACAAUUCAAAAUAAUAAAUUAAAAUUUAAAAUCAAUUUUUUAAUCAGUGAGCAAACAUAGAUUUGCACAUACAAAAAGAAGAGAAACAAUGAAUAUAGAAGCACUCGUCGCCACGAUGAGGAGGUUGAAGGGAUUGGUUUUAGCUUUUCCGUUGAAAAGUUGGCUUUCUUCUUCUCCUUUUGAUUCAUAUUCUAUUAUGUGUCGGUCGCUGUUCUCCCAUUUCUUUCCUUGUUUUUUUUCCUUACUUCGACUAUUUUUUCGCCUUGGUUGUAUACUGAUCUAUUAUGUUUCUAUUUCCGUAAUAGUUUCCCUCAUCUUUGUUCAUCCAUAUUCCAAUUUUGAACCAUACAACCUGAGAUUGUGUGUAGAGCUCCGAUAUUUUCACCGGCUCGAGUGUUUCCAACACCACCACUUUCUCCUUAUAUUGCGUUAUCGGUAAUGUCAUUCGUGGAUUUCCAUGAACUUCAUCUUCAUAGCUAGCUUCUCUUGUUUAGUUGCUAGCUAUCCUUACUUUAUGGCUAUGCUCGGGAAGCAAAUUGGAGUUGGAUGUGGCGUUUGGUUAGGCGUUGCUUGGCUGUGGAAGAUGAUUUGGAUGGAUGGGGAAGAUCUAUGGUGGCAGCGAAAGUAGUAGAAGUUUCUGGUUCUGUUACUGUGUUCUGGUUUGUAGGCCUAACUCUUUCUUGGGCUCUUUUUGUGUUUUGUUUAGUUUUGGCCCGUUUUUUGUUGUUUAUAUGUUAGUUUUGGGCCAUGCCUGUAUGUAAGGUUUGUGUUUAUAAUAAAAAGUUGGGUAAAUUACAUAAAACUACCUCAAUUAUUGGAUCAUUAACAAUUUCAUAUCUCAUCUUUAAAAAGUUUCAAUGCCAUACCUUCCGUCAGUUGCUUGUCAAUUCUUCUGUAAAAUGAUGACGUGGCAUGAGGCGGGGCCCACUUUCUAUUAAAAAAAUUAAUUAAAUAUUUAAAAAGGUCGUACCCAGUGCACAAGGCUCCCGCUUUAAAUAUUUAAAAAUUAAAAAUAAAAAACCAAAACCCAAACCCAAAUCCCAUCACUCCUUCCCCCCCCCCACGAAACAUAUCCCAUAUUCCCAUCUUCCUCAUUCGUCCCCCCAUUCCAAACCCAGAACCGCACCCCAACUCCCCCGCAACCCCCCCUUUCUUCAUCCCGAGCCUCCCAACCACCUCAUUUUCCUCCACUCUCUUCACCUCUCUUCCCAUUCAAAAAAAAAAAAUCAGACAACCUUCAGCCCUCUUUAGCCUUCUUGAAGCUCGGUAUAGCAUCAAAGACAACCCUUGACAUCAGCUCGCCACCCGACAUCACAAGGUCAUCUUCACCAGCGCCGACCACUUAUCAAUAAACGAAGUCAUCGACCGCGUUUGACACAAGCUUAUCGAUCGCUGCCACUUCUCCUCUGUCGUAGUUCUAAGCCAUAAGGGUCGCUGCCACAGGAAUUGAGGCCUUGUGGAUCGAAUGAGCAGUCGGACAAUCUGGACAAUCUGGGUUUAGAUUUGUUUUUUUUUUUUUUUAAGUUUUGAAUGGGAUGGGAGGUGAAGAAAGUGGAGGAGAUGGAGGUGGUUGAGAGGCUCGAGAGGGAGAAAUGGGGGUUGCAGGGGAGGUGGGGGUAGGGUUCUGGGUUUGGAAAAUAGGACAGAUGGGGAAGAUGGGAAGGGGGAUGGGUUUCACGAGGGGGGAGAGAUGGGAUUUGGGUUUUGGUUUUUUUUUUUUUAAUUUUUUAAUAUUUAGUUAAUAUUUAUUUUAUUUUUUUAAUAAUUUUUUCUUUUUUAAUAGAAAGUGGGCCCCGCCUCAUGCCACGUUAGCAUUUAAUAGAUGAAUUGACAGACAAUUGACAGAAAGUAUGACAUUGCAACAAAUUCGAAGAUAAGGUAUGACAUUGAAACUUUAUAAAGACAAUGUAUGAAACUGUUAAUGACCCAAUAGUUGAGAUAGUUUUAUGUAAUUUACCCUAAAAAGUUACAUUUUACCAAAAAAUAAUAAUAAUAAAAGAAAUUUGAUCAUUUAUUGUAUUAUGUGUGUGUAUAUGUGUAUGUAUGUAUGUGUGUAUGUAUGUAUGUAUGUGUGUGUGUGUGUGUGUGUGUGUGUGUGUGUGUGUGUGUGUGUGUGUGUAGGUUAAGAGGCCAAUGAAAACUUGAUCUUUUUUUAAUGAAAAAUUGACUUCAGUAAGCGCAUAUCUAUGAUAAGGAUGGUAACAGUUCAGUUUGGGGACGAAAAUGUUAUAUUUAUCCUCAUAACCACAAAAAUUAAUUAUAUCUAUAACCGUAAUUAACCAUCGGAGAUUAUCCAUAACCAUACACAUCGAGAAACAAAUCGGUUAACGAUUAUAUUCAUCUUCGUCAAUAUAAAAAUAUAUUUGUUCAACACAUUAUAUAUAAUAAAUACUAAUUUCAUCAUUAAAUAUCCAUGUCCAACCAAUAAGCCAAAUAUGAUAAAUUAGUCUAAUGAAAAGAAAAAAAAAAGGAUGACAAAAGCAAAUACAACAACCACUAAAGAAGAAAGACAAAACAAAUCAUCAAAUAAUUAUGAAACUUGUGACGACAAAAUCAGAGCAAUGAAUUAAAACAUUAAUUGACACGCACCAACCCCUAUAUCCCCAAAUAUCAGGGUAGGCACGUGCUGGCCAACACCCGAGGGUGACAAAGCCAUUUUGAACAUGCAUACAAUUAAGAAUACCUAAUUAGAAUGACUUAAACCAAAGCAAAAUCAUGUUCAGGGCAUACAACUAACCAAGAAUAAUAUGAAAGAAUUAUUAUGGAAAGGUACAAACCGAGGAAUGUGUCCUACACAAAGGAGACUUAAAGAUCUCUAAGCGGAAAUGCCCUGACGCCAGGAUCGUGUGCCUUGACUCUGACUCCUGAGGGGCGCAAAACAGAAAAGGUGAGUGGACCGAGGUUUAUAAUAAUACUAGUAGUAGGAAAACCAUUUUCUUUCUAAACAUACUAACCCCCUGUUUUGAAAACAUAUAUAUAAUACUGCAUAAUAAGUUUUUCUGAAAGCUUUACAUGCCAUGCAAAGCAUUCUUAAAAAAAUGCAUAUGUAAAACAGUGCUCAGUGAUGGAUGUAUGGUAAAUCUAUAAAAACACAUUAUACUGUACUCUUUAGGGGUAUCAUAGUCGCCCGAAGGCAGUACAUGUUCAUCACCCGAAGGUGAAGCUGAAUAAAAGAGCAUACAUACAUACCGACACUAGUUGUGGCUAGUGAAGCUGUCUGACACCACUUUCGGCUGUGAAGCUAGGGGUAUAUAUAUAUCUCACUACUCCUUCACUGUGUCCUAUAGCCAUAGAUGUCAUACCCGUGGUGUGUGUAUAUGUCGUAUGAUAACCCACUAGAUAAGCACCAAAAACAUAUUUCAAAAACCUGUAUUUAAAACACCAGCUAAGCUCAAAACUCAACACCUCAUUUCAUAAACCACGAUAAUGCAUAUUCAUAAAACCCAAGUAUAUCAUUUACGAAAACCCCAUAUUUUAUGGCCUUUAGAAAAACGUAAAUUCGAUAAUUCAUAAAUAUUUCAUAAAAGCAAUUUAAAUAAAUCAUAAGUAUAUAAAUCCAUAAAACAUAAUGGGUAAAUUACACUUUCAUACCUCAAGUUUGAGAUCUAUUUCAAUUCCUUAUAACAUCUUCAAAACAUUUCACUUUCAUACCUUAAGUACUAUUUUAUUUCAAAAUAAUACCUCUGUUACAUUUUCCAUCCAUUGAUCCGUUAAGUUCUGACGUAGCUGCCACAUAUAUGUCAAAUGUCUGCCACGUGGCAAAAAAAAUUAAUUUCUUUUUAAAAAACCUGAAUUUUCUCAAAAUAAAUAAAUAAAUAAAUAAUUGAAACCCAUCCCAUCUCCCCGCAACCACCCUCACAUCCCUAAACCUGCAAGAAGAAGAAGAAGAUGAUGAUGAUGAUGAUGAUGAAGGGAAAAAACAAAAGGCCAUACCUAGUUCGUCCCCCCCCCCCACAACUUAGAAGAAGAAGAAGAAGAAGAAGAAGAAGAAGAAGAAAGAGGAGGAAAAAAAAAUUGAAACCCAUCUCCCCGCAACCACCCCCACAUCCCUAAACCUGUAACAACAACAACAAGGAAAGAAAGAAAAAAAAAAGGGCCAAACCCAGUUCGUCCCCCCCCCCCUUUUCACCCCUAAAAACCUACAACCUAGAAGAAGAAGAAAAAGAAAAAGAAAAAGAAGACGAGGAAAAAAAAAAUUUGAAACCCAUCCCAUCCCGUCUCCCCGCAACCACCCCCGCAUCCCUAAACCUGCAACAAGAACAAGAAGAAGAAGAAGAAUGAGAGAAAAAAAAAAUUAAAAAAAAGGCCAAACCCAGUUCGUCCCCCCUCCCCACCCCAAAAAACCUACAACCUAUAAGAAGAAGAGGAAAAAAAAAUUAAAAAAAAAACCAGAAAUCGUCUUCCCCGUCCACCCCCUUCUCCCAUCCAUCAUCACCCACCCCAAAAUCCCACUCGAGCCACCCAUUUCUUCCUUCCCCCAUCACCCCUCCCAAAAAUCCCCCAUCACCCACCCCCAAAAAUCCCACCAGAAAUUAGGUGGAUCUAUCAUAAAACCAGUCCAACAAUCAUCUCAAACUCAAACUCCCCAUCUCAAAGUAUUUUCGAAACUUACCCACACUGAAAAUCUAAAAAAUAUGGAGAGUCAUUGUAUGGGUGGGUUCGCGUAGUGAGGAGGGAUGGAAGGCUGGUGCGUCGCGCGGGGGGCGGGGAAAGGGGGGAGGGAGUUGGGUGGCGCACGAGAGGGGGAGGGGGGGAAGGCAGGUUCAAGCACUAUUUUUUUUCCCUCCUUCUCCUUCUUCUUCUUCUUGUUACAGGUUUAGGGAUGUAGGAGGUGCAGGUUUAAGGAUGGGUUUCAAAUUUUAUUUUAUUUAUUUAUUUUUUGAGAAAAUUCAGUUUUUUAAAAAGAAAUAAAAAAUUAUUAUUUUUGCCAUGUGGCAGACAUUUGGCAGCCACGUGGCAUAUAUGUGGCAGCCACGUCAACACUUAACGGAUUAAUGGGUGAAAAAUGUAACGGAGGUAUUAUUUUGAAAUAAAACAGUACUUAAGGUAUGAAAGUGAAAUGUUUUGAAGAUAUUGUAAGGAAUUGAAAUAGACCAUAAACCUAAGGUAUGAAAGUGUAAUUUACCCAAACAUAAUAGAAAACAUAUUCAAAUCAUGAAGUGUGAAAUGCAUGCUAGACUAAUAAUUUAUAAAAUAUGUAAGUUUAGAAGGGGUUCACUCACAUAUAUUUUGUUGCCCGAAAGCCACUCGAACUAGCAAGGAAUGCGUCGCUUCCAACCGAUACACCUAACCAUAAUUUGAGACCAUUUAGUAAAACUAUACCUAAAUAAUAGAAUUUGGGAAAUCGAACAGCGAAAUUGGAAUCAGAACGUCGAAAUUAGUCUAGGAGGGGUCUCGGCCAAAAUCUGAAAAAGUCAACCCAAAAGUCAACAUUGAUCGAAAAGUUAAUGGGUCGGGUCUGGUUCUGGGCUUGAAGGGAUGGAUCGGGUUAGGCUAAAGGGCCAAAGGUUAGGCCAAGUUUAAGGAUUGGGCUUAAGCUAAGGUUAAGGACUUGGGCCUGGGUAAAUGGGUUCAUGAAUUUAGACCUAAAUUGGGCUUGGGCUGGGUUAUAACAUUAGGCUAAUAGGUUUGAGCCUUGACAUGGACAAUAGGUUAAUAGAUUUGAGCUGACUAAUGGGUUUGGGCCAGAUUCAAUUAUUGGGUUGGGUUAGUUAUUAGGCUAGGCUAGGCUGCUUCGGGUUGGGUCUAACCCGUUAAACUCGUGGGGCAUCCGAUCCAGCGAAGAAGAAGGCUGGAAUUGGGCCAAGAAAUUUCCCAACUCCGUUUUGGGGUCAAAACUCAACAAAAAAAACAAUGAUUCAAAGAUCAUAUUGAAGCUAGAAAUCUAGAGGACAAGUUUGUAACAAAGUGGGGCCAAGUUAUCGUCGGUGUUGGCCGAAAAUCCCCUGCAAACCCGUGGUACUUGUCGAAAAACUGGAAAUGUUUCCUCCUUCGAUGCUUCUAUGUCCAACCACAUUGAUUUAGAAUAUUAACAUCCUAAUAUGGUUUUUAAUUCACGAAGGAAGAACGACAAAGGUGAACCGAGGCAUACCUUGGUUGGGAUCCAAGAAACUCGCGGGAGUACGACAAGGUGAUGUCGUUGUGCUCCCUUAUACAGAAAGAAGUCAGAUGAAGAGAGAGAGUUGAGAGAAUUUAAGGGAAACAGAGUGAUGGUGGUGAGGUCAUUGUCGCUGUCGUACAUUUGUACGUGUGUGUGUGUGGGUGGAUGGUGCUCGGGAAUGGAGAUGAGGGGAGUGUGUUGUUUCCCGGGGAGAGACAAAGAGAAAGAGAGGGAAAACGAGAAAGAAAAAAGUUCGAGAGAUUUGGGGAAGGGACCACGUGGCAAGAGAAGAAUGGAGAGUGUAGUGUAGGUGUGGGUUCCACAGCCUGAAUAAUAUUAAAAUAAUUAAAUAUCCAAUCCUAAUAUCUCGAAUAGUGGAAUGAUUAUUUUGCCCCUCCACUUCGUAGUUCAGUAAAAUCCUCAUCGGAACUCCAAAUUACAUUUCGUUUGCAUCCACACGUUCGUAAUGACGAGUACUUCAAGAAUACGCCAAGGAAACGAAUCUUAUGUGACACGACAAAAUGGUCAACAAAAGUCAACAUUUGGCCCCAUAAGGCAUUUUUUAAAAUUUACGUAUUAAUAUUAUAAAAAUUGUAAUAAUUGGGGAUGGGUCGUUACAUUAAUAAUGUUGGCUAAUCUUUGAACUCUUCCAUAAGCACCAUUGAAUUCUCAUUGGUUUUGAUUCAAAAUUUUGUACUUUCCCACAAAAUGCAACUUUUGUAAUGCUUAAGGUAAAAGGUUUAGUGAAUGUACAUAUAUAUUAUAUUAUGUAUAAGUUAUAUUAUAUCCUUAAUAAGUAUUAUUCGGAGCGGAUUCGGGAAUAGAUACUGAUCGGGGACCCUUAUAUCCAAAUCGGAAACCAUAGCCUAAUAAUAUUUCAAGUUUUCCUCCAUAUCCAAAAUAUAUUCGAAUUUCACCUCCAAAUCCGUUCUUUUUGGUUGGGCUAUCCAUGAUUAUCGGAGUUAACGAUUUGAAUUGUCAUCCCUAAUCUAUGAGGACAUAUACGAAACAAAGAGAAGCCAAGAUGACAAUGUAUCAAACUAAAUAUCUACUCAAUGUGAAAAAAAUUAAAACUCAUAAUAAUGCAUAAUAAGUUUGAAAAACUACCGUGACACUUUUGAAGAUUUUUUCCAUUGAAUUUUCUCUAGUGAACAUCAAAAGAGCACAGUUACAAGAUCAAAGAUACUGUCAUUCAGGAUAGCUUUUUUAAUGUGUCUGGAACACGAGGAAAUACGUUAACACACUGGAAAUACGUUAUAUGUCAUUAUACAUGAAGGAAAAUUAUUUUUGUCAAAUAUUUUUCAACUUAUAUAAUGACAUAUGACGUUAUCAUGGGAAUUCUCUUCUAGCAAACGGACGAACUGCAUUUGGGGCCUACCACGGUAGACUGCCCAUUACGGUGAAAAGACGUGACCCCAAAUCUUGUCCAGUCUUGUUUGAUGGGCCUCCCCAAUGUAAGAAAAGAAGACGCAUGGGGCACUAACAAUGACAGGUCUUUUAGCCCAUGUGGUGCACUUUUCACCUUAAAUCAUGAGUUUGUUCUUUCGUAUAGGUUACAAGUAAGAGAUCCGAAGCUGAAACCUCUCUUAUAUUUUGAUACGCGAAGUAUUACUAGAUUAAGAGUUAGUUGAUAAAAUCGGAUCGGUUUGGCAUUGAGAGUGAAAUUAUAUGAAAUGAGGGUGACACAAAUACAGUCACAGAAGCAAAGACAACCAUCCUUUUUAAGACCGAAGUGAUUGAGAAUCUUUGGUUCUUUCACUUUAUGACUCCUUUAUCACAUUAUUUAAAUUAAUCCAACUUAAACAAACUUAAAUGAAUGAUGGUUACAUAAGAUACCUCCUUGUCCACUAAUUUUUAAUCAAUUUAAUUAAUUAAAUUUAAUUAUAAUUAUACUAUACAACAGAUAUCUAGGAUUCCGUAUCUUCUUCUUUCCGCAACAUGGACGGCUGACAAUUGAGAGCCUUUACUUGCCCAUAUCUAUUACAAAUAGACAAGAUAUUGGUGCAAUAAUUUUAGAUGUUCCCCAUGGAUGUAGAUGUUAGAGUUGAAAAACCCACCACUUCCGCAAUCCCUCGUAGCAACUCCCCCAUGGAUGUAGAUGUUAGAGUUGAAAACCCACCACUUUCGUAAUCCCUCAUAGCAACUCCAGUGUAAAAGCCCCCAUUCCAGAUUAUUUACUAUUUAAUCCAUCCAAUGAAUAGUAACUGUUCUUAAUAAACAGUAAUUACAGUGGUAAUUACCUUUUGCAUCUCCACUCCUGUACUGAAUAGCCUGUCAAUUGGCAAUAAAAUAUUAUUAUUUUUUAUUUAUAAAAUAAUACAUAAUAAUUUUAUUUGUAAUUUCAGAUAAGAUUUUUAAUCGUUCUCGUUGCGCCACGUGUCAUUAUCCGCAAAGAUAAUUUUUCAUAAUUUUUUUUCGGAUUUUAAAGAAUUUUUUACAUUUAAAAAAAAAAAAUUUAUUCACCUAAUUAAUCUUUGCCGUUGGAUUUUUAAAAAAAAUUGAAUUCCAACACUCCAGGUUGUGCCACGUGGUACAACGGUAACAUUUCAGAAUUUUAAACUGUUUUUUUUUUAAUUUACAAAGCCUAAUAACGUGGACCGUUGAUCUUAGAUCAAACGGAUGAAAUUAAAUGAGAUUUUUAAAUGUUUUUUACCGUUGGAAAUCCAACAGUCCAUAAAAUAAGGCCGUUACAAUCGAACAAACAUGGGGAAGCUACGUGGCUUCCCCAACAGUAGCAUUUCAAAACAGGCGCCGUUGGCCCCAGCCCUGUUUUUUUGUCAGAAGACGCGAGCAUGAAACGCACGUGCCUGACGCAGCCCUCGGGUUCUCGGGCUGGCAAUCGACGCCGGGCCUGCUCCUCGGGCCUUGCCUGUCACUCGGGCUACCCAACGCUGGACCCUAUCCCCCGACAAUUUGGUCCUGUUUGAAGGCCUAGCCCUCGAGCAAACUCCCUCGCUGGAGUUGCUCUCAUGAGAGAAAAAAUUCAAGGCAUCCGUUUGCAUGAAAUUUGUGUUUAUGUUGUGGUCUAUUUUAUCUGACAGAGGGACUAGGGCCGGCGGCAAAGAGAGAGAGGAGAGAGAUGUGUGUUUGUAGAAUUGUAGGGGAAUGUGUGUGUUGUUAUCCCUCCUACAUUGUGCCUUUAUUUAUAGUAGUAAAGGGAGAGAAGAUAUUUUGUGCUUUUAUUUAUAGUAGUAAAGGGAGAGAAGAUAUUUCUUCUCCUCCAAGUAAUACAAGUUGUAAUAGGAAAGGAUAACUAGAAUCAAAUCUUAUCUAGGAUUUACACAAUCAUACUUAAACUAGGAAUGUUUACAACACUCCCCCUUGAGUGGGUAAAUACUCAAGGUAGAUUCAGCAUCAUGCAAAAGUUGAGGAAGUCGACUCGCCGGCACUGAUUCCAAGGAACAACGCUUAUUCUCAAUAAGGUAGGAACUUGCAUAAGUAGUAAGUCUCACUAAAAAACCCUAAGGCUAUGGCAAAAACCCAAGUAGGGACAAAAUCCAUAGUCUAAGGAAAAAUGUGUGAGAAAUGCAAAGUCAAAAGAAACGUCUACAGGACGUCAUCAGGGAUAUGACCAGCCCAAGGUGGGUGCCUCGUUAAAACCUAGUUAGGUAGCAAAAACCCAGUGGGAAAAAUGCUCAUAAUCGUAGGGAAAAAGAGUACAUUAAGAUCAAACAAGUAUCCAGAAGAUACUCCCCCUGAGUUUGACAUAAUUCCAAAGAGAAAUAGCAAAGUUACAACUCAGAAAGUUUACGCAUACCAAUUCCAUGAACAAGCUUCUGAAACGUCGCCUUCGGUAGUGAUUUGGUGAAGAGGUCGGCCAGAUUGUCUUGUGAUCGGAUUUGCGUGACUUCAAUCUUCUGAUGCUCUUGUUGUUAAUGUGUAAAGAAGAACUUCGGCGCAAUAUGCUUGGUGUUGUCUCCUUUGAUGUAACCCUUCUUGAGCUGUUCGAUGCAAGCUGCGUUGUCUUCAAAAAUCGUCGUCGGGGCAUUAACGGCGGGAUGAAGAUCACAGGAGCUUCGAAUAUGGCCCACUACUGCUCUCAACCAAAAGCAUUCCCGAGUUGCUUCAUGUAAGGCGAGAAUUUCAGCAUGGUUAGACGAAGUGGCAACUAAGGUCUGUUUAGUUGACCUCCAAGAUAUUGCGGUGCCUCCAACGGUAAAGACAUAACCCGUUUGAAAACGCGCCUUGUGCGGAUCAGAUAAGUCUCCAGCGUCGGCAUAACCAACAAGGCGAGAAUCAACCCGAUGAGCAUAGGGUGAGGCAUUACUCGAGGAUUCGUAGGGAUAGAAUAAGCCCAAAUCCGUAGUACCCUUAAGGUAACGGAAGAUGUCUUUCACGCCAGUCCAAUGUCUGCGUGUUGGUGCAUUGCUGUAUCUUGCCAAAAGAUUAACAGCGAAGGAGAUGUCGGGUCUAGUGCAUUGAGCUAAGUACAAUAAAGCGCCUAUCGCACUUAGAUAAGGAACUUCAGGCUCCAAAAUCUCUUCAUCAUCCUCCUUCGGACGGAAGGGAUCUCGCUUUGCAUCUAGCGUACGAACGACCAUAGGAGUACUCGAAGGCUUCGCUUUAUCCUCAUUAAAACGGCGCAACACCUUCUGGGUGUAGUUCGAUUGAUGUACUAGGAUUCCAUCCGAACAAUGCUCUAUCUCGAGACCGAGACAGUAUCGAGUCUUACCUAGAUCUUUCUUCUCAAAUUCCGACUUCAGGUGCAAAGCAGUUCUCGCGAGCUCUUCAGGAGUUCUGAUGAGAUUCAUGUCAUCGACAUAUACUGCAACAAUCGUAAAUCCGGAAUGUGACUUCUUAAUGAACACACAAGGGCAUAGUUCGUUAUUCACAUAUCCCUGACUAGUCAAAUACUCACUUAAACGGUUAUACCACAUUCUUCCGGAUUGUUUCAAACCGUAUAGUGAACGCCUCAGCCGAAUUGAGAGCGUGUUCCGGGGUUUGGAAAUAUUUGAACCAGUCAAUGUAAGUCCUUCGGGAACUUUCAUAUAAAUUUCCGUAUCAAGAUCCCCAUAGAGAUACGCGGUUACUACGUCCAUCAGCUGCAUAUCCAGUUUUUUCGGAAACUACCAAACUGAUAAGGUAUCGAAAAGUAAUCACAUCCAUAACGGGUGAGUAAGUUUCGUCAUAGUCAAUCCCGGGGCGUUGUGAGAAACCUUAUGCUACAAGACGAGCUUUGUAACGCACAAUUUCGUUCUUCUCAUUACGCUUCCGAACGAAAACCCACUUGUAGCCAACGGGCUUCACAUGUGGAGGAGUAGGAACUACAGGUCCAAACACCUUACGUUUCGCAAGUGAAUCAAGUUCGACUUGGAUUGCUUGUUUCCAGUUUGACCAAUCAGCUCUAUGUCGACAUUCAUCAACGGAACGCGGUUCAAUGUCAUCGCUCAACAUGAUCUCAGUAGCUACUGCAAAUGCUAAUGCAUCGUCGACAAUCAUCUCAUUUCUACGCCACACAUCAUCUAAGCUAGCAUAAUAGACCGAAAUCUCACGAUUCUCGGGAGGAGGAUUCGUCUCUUCAAGAACGCUUCCAUAAUCUAGAAUUUCCUCAUGAGUUGGGUAAAAUGAGUAAGCGAUAGUCAGAUUCACGGUAGGCUCUUCAGGACCUUGUGCCGUGGUUUUCCUCUUCCGGGGGUGUGAAUCCUUUGAACCAAGGGGUCUGCCAUGCUUUUGUGUAGGGGCAGAUGAUUGGCUAGCCGUUAAUGUACGUGGAUCACCAGAAUUGGCGUCCCGGGCUUCCAGGAGGGUAGUCCGUCGUACAUUUGGUACAUCCAUCUUUGCAGGCGUAUUCGCAGCUAGAAUAUGUGAUCUUGUCACGCGCGCUAGAUCGGUGAAAGCAUCUGGCAUGCUCUGAGCUAUGCUCUGGAGAUCUAAUAUGCGCUGCACUUCAGCUUCAGACUGAGCGGUGCGGGGAUCUAAAUGAGACAAAGUGGGAGUUGUCCACGAUAAUUCGCAUCGUUCAUUAGGAACGUUGACGUUCUUAUCUCCCCCUAACGACGGGAAGACUGUCUCAUAGAAGUGACAAUCCGUGAAACGAGCGGUAAACAGAUCGCCUGUCAAAGGUUCUAAGUAACGAAUAAUCGAAGGAGAAUCAUAUCCGACAUAGAUUCCCAUCCUUCGCUGAGGCCCCAUUUUUGUACAUAAGGGCGGCGAGAUCGGCACAUAGACCGCACAACCAAAAACGCGCAGAUGCGAUAUGUCGGGUUCGCAUCCGGUGACCAACUGAAGGGCACUAAAUGGUUGUGUCGCAACAGGCCUCAGGCGGACCAACUUUGCUGUGUGCAAUAUUGCAUGGCCCCAAGCAGCGAUCGGGAGCUUGGUACGUAUGACCAACGAUCGAGCAAUCAUUUGUAAACGCUUAAUGAAAGCCUAUGCCAGGCCGUUCUGGGUGUGAACAUGGGGUACAGGAUGUUCAACUUCAACCCCAACCGACAUGCAAUAGUCAUCAAAAGUUUUAGAUGUGAAUUCUCCAGCAUUAUCCAAUCGAAUAGAUUUGAUCGGAUAAUCAGGGUGGUGAGCCCUGAGCUUGAUAACCUGAGCCAACAGUUUGGAGAAUGCAGCGUUCCUUGUGGACAACAAGCACACGUGUGACCAACGUGUAGAAGCGUCAACCAAAACCAUAAAAUAUCUAAAUGGUCCGCAGGGAGGUUGAAUCGGUCCACAAAUGUCCCCCUGAAUCCGUUGUAGAAAAAUGGGAGGAUUCGAACGAAUCUUGUCAUAAGAAGGCUUAGUAAUAAGCUUUCCCAUAGAACAUGUUUGACAUGCAAUUUCAUGGAUCGAACCUAAGCUUCGGGUUAGUGGAUGCCCGUGUGAAGUUUUGAGGAUACGGCGCAUCGCUAUUCGUCCAGGAUGUCCCAAACGAUCAUGCCAAAGUGUAAUUUCGUGCGCGGUCCCUGUGGUAGGGCCGGCCACAUAGUGGCAUUCUAUGGGGCGUAUGGUCGUAGUAUACAGACCACUCGAGUUACGCUCCAUCUUCUCUAGAAUACGCUUCUGGCCAUAUUCGUAGGAAGUUACGCACAGAAAUUCAACUCCGUUUUCUAUGUGGGUUUCAGCAUGGUAAUUGUUAUCUCUAAUGUCCUUGAAACUUAGUAACGUUCUUCCGGAACGUGGAGAAUAGAGUGCCUCAGCAAUGGUCAAGAUUGUACCAUUGGACAACAUUAUACGUGCCUUACCGUAUCCUUCGAUCAGGUUGGAUGGGCUUGAGAGGGUUGUCAGAGGUGCAUUCUUAGGUACGAAGUUAGUGAAAUAGAUGCGUUCACGCAAAACAGUAUGCGUGGUUGCACUAUCUGCCAGACAACUAACUUUCCCACUAGUCAUACCUAGAAUGAAAAAUUAAUUUGAAUCGGUCACAUGCAUAAAAGUUUAUAAAAACAAGUAUCAAUUCAAAAUAAUUUCAUUUAUUCAAGGAUUAAAAACUUAAUAUCCAAAAUAAAUCGCCAACUAAUAAUCCAAAACAUAAAGGAAAAUUGUUCAAAAUCAACCAAAAAAAACAAGGUGGGGUUCGGCCACAAGGUGGAAUUCAGCCCCAAUUGUCUUAUUUUAACUGAAAAAUAAGUCUAUGUCUAAGAUUCUAAUCUUCCAUAGGAGUGGUAUCCUCCUGAAAAUCAGAAACCUCCAUCUUUGUAGUCUCCGGUUCGUCCACUUGUAGGAAGUUUGAUUCAAACUUCGUACGACGAGAAUGAUAUGCAUCCACAACCUUCUUGGGAGCACGGCAAAUACGGGACCAAUGGUCCUUGGAACCACAACGAUAGCACAUAUCGUCAUUCAUUGUGGCAGGUGCUUUGCCCUUAUUCUUGAAGUUCGGGGCCUUGGGAGCGAGGUUUGGGCGCUUCUGGGCUUUGUUUCCUCCCUUGGAUGGGCCUUGGCUCUGUUGACCUUGGUGGGAUGGCUUCUGGCCGCCCUUACCACGCCUCUUUUGGCGUUUUGGGUGCUGAUUAGUGCUAUAAUGUGCUUCAGGCACAGCAGUAGCCCCAGUAGGUCGAGCUUGAUGAUUCUUCAUCAACAGCUGGUUCUGCUUUUCAGCAAGAAGUAAAACAGAGAUCAAAUCCGAGAACUUAGUGAACUUCUGAGCUCUAUAUUGUUGCUGCAGGACAAUAUUAGAAGCAGAGAAGGUCGAGUAGGUCUUCUCCAGGAGAUCCUCUUCAGUCAAAGUUUCAUUGCAAAACUUGAGAAGUGAUCGGAUUCGACAAACUUCAGAAUUAUAUUCAUUCACAGACUUAAAGUCUUGGAAAGCGCAAGUGCUGCCAGUCGUGCCGUGUCUUGCUUCAGGCAAGAAUAUGUCCUUUUGGUGAUCGAAACGAUCAGCCAAAGCGACCCAUAAUGCACGUGGAUCCUCCUCAGCAAGGUACUCAGUUUGUAGAGCGUCAUGGAUAUGUCUUCGGAUGAAGAUCAUAGCAGUGGCUUUUUUCAGCCUCGCCAACAGGUUUAUCUGUUGCUUCUUCAAUAGCAGGACGCAAGUUCUUUGCAGUGAGGUGGAGCUUCACAUCUUGAACCCACUUGAGGUAGUUCCUUCCAGAAACCUCCAAAGCGGUGAAGUCGAGUUUGUUCAAAUUCGACAUGUUCCUAUCACAAAAUAGAUGGACAAGAUGUGGUUAGUGUAAUGGAGAAAAAUCAAUCCAUUCACAUAGGAGUAGAACAUACAGGUUCUAAUAGACAUGUAUUGGUUGAAUUUUGCAUGAAAAACUUCGGGUUUUCAUGGGUGAUAUGUUUAAGUGAAAACUUCGGGUUUUCUAACAAGGCAUGUGUAUAAGAAACUUCGGGUUUCAAAGUAAUUAUGAACUUCAGGUUCAUAUAUUCAUGCAGGCAAACACAAAUAUAUAUGCAAACAAAUAUGCAAAGAAUAUAUGCAGAAAUAUUGUAUAAUGAUAAGUGAAUUAAUUUAUUUUUUUGGUCUUCGGGGGCCAAAUUAAAGUGUGGGUGAAAAUAUAAAAACCCAUAUUAUUUAAAAGUAUUAAAUAAUAAAAUCUCGGGGCCUAAAAAUAUAGGCCGAGUACCCCCGGGUGUAGGCUGCAGGCCCACGGGGUGAGAAAGGAAUGGGCUGCUGUGUGCAGCCCUAAAAAAAAUUUUCUCCUUUUUUCGGUAUGGGCCGCUGCAGGCGAGCCCAGGAAAAUAAAAAAACAAAUUGUUUUCUUUGUGGGCUAGGCCGCUGCAAGCGAGCCCAGCAAAAAAAAAUUGUUUUUUUUUCUUUUGUUACACGGGCCGAGAGACAGAGCCCGAGUAGGGUUCGGGAAAGAGACCCAAAAGAAAUCCCAGCCGUGCUGGGUGUGCGAUGCCGAAGAAGAAAGCCGGAGUUCGUGGACGGCGCCAUGGCAUGCGGUGUGUCCAGGGUCGAGCAAGCCAUGGUUCGUCGAAGAACCAGGUGUUUGUUGAUGAAGAAGAGAUCUCAACGUCGAUGGAAGAAAAAAAAUUGAAUGAAUUCAAUUGAAUUCGAGUGAAGACCCAUGAAAUUCUUCUGGAAUUUCUAGAAAUCGUUGGUGAAAACGAUGGGUGGUGUCCAAGUUUGCACGACUGCAGGUCGUGUUGUGUUGGAAAAUCGACGGCGAGGACCUAGGCUUCAGGCCGUAGGUAGGGACAAGGUGCUUCAAACGCACCGUUUCGGUUCAAGGCUUGCGGCAUGGGUUCUCGGUUUGGGUUGGGCCAUCGCAGGCUGCGGGCCUGGUGGCUUGCGGCCUUGCAUGGUGCACAGGCACGGGUUAGACUAGAACCCUAAUUUCCCCAAUCGCAAAAUUUUUUUUUUUCAAUUCAAAUAUAUUACAUGUAUAAUUUUAAUGAAUCACAUAUUUACGUUGAUGCAUAUGCAAAUAAUAGUUUCAAUGCAUGUACAUAUGUAAGAUUCAAUUCAUGACAAAUAUCAAAUUCACAUAAUUGUAGCAAUUUUGAUGAUGAAGCAUACACAAUUUAUGUAGAAUCUAAAAUACGUUAAACGUAAAGUUGGGUCAUGCAUCAUGGUGAAUGUUCAUGCUAUCAGGGCUUGCAAAAUAUCGAGUUAAAAACCGUUGUUUGGAAAGAACCUGAUUGCGUGAUGAUAUGGAUGAACUGGUUUGAUGCAGAAAAAAUUUCCAACGUCAGAUUCCUAAGCGCAGCGGUAGGAGCGUGCUGAUAACGUGUUGUGGUCUAUUUUAUCUGACAGAGGGACUAGGGUCGGCGACAAAGAGAGAGGAGAGAGAUGUGUGUUUGUAGAAUUGUAGGGGAAUGUGUGUGUUGUUAUCCCUCCUACAUUGUGCCUUUAUUUAUAGUAGUAAAGGGAGAGAAGAUAUUUCUUCUCCUCCAAGUAAUACAAGUUGUAAUAGAAAAGGAUAACUAGAAUCAAAUCUUAUCUAGGAUUUACACAAUCAUACUUAAACUAGGAAUGUUUACAACAGUUUAAAAAUUGUUACAUCAUUUUUAAGUGUCAUAAUCACAAUUGAAUUCUGCAUCAUAUGUUUUUUUUUAGUACAAUAAUAUAUUUUACAUUAUUUAAAGAGAGAAGUUUGAUUGAACCACACAAUAAGUAACCUAAUUUGAUAUCAAAUUCAAUAUUUACGAUAUUCAAAAUUAAAAUCUCUCACUUGCAAAUAAAAGAAAAUAUCAUCGUAAUACUGAAUAGAUUACAUCAUUCGUUUUAAGUCGGUUUACCAAAAUUUGUUAUUAUGUUUGAUUUGAUGACUGGUGAAGUGAGACUAGGUUAGGUAACAAGUCUUUCUCAGUAGGGGCUUAAGAGUCAACAUACAAUGUCCCACUCGCUUUAAUUAAUAAAAAUUAUUUUGACUAUUAUCUUAUCAACACUCGUUUACGGAAAGGAAUCCUUUCUUGAUCCUUUUUCAUCUAAUUUAGAUCUGUUGAAAUUUAAUUAAACAGUUAUAAAUAGAAGAUUUCUUUAAAAGUGAUAAUAAAUAUAACUGUUAAGUUAAAUUUUAACAAUCCAGGUCCUGAAUUAAGUGGAAAGUGAUCCGCUCUCUUUCCCUCGUUUACCAUCAUAAUCCAAAUUAAGGUUACUAUUUAAUUUGGAUCUCCAAUCAUUGUGGCUUGGCUAAUAUAGAAUUCCUCGCCGAGAUGGUGGUGGUUGUUAUUGGUAAAAAAAAAAAAACAAAGAUAUUUCUAAGUAUAUACUAUUUACCAUCCUUGCUAGGCUGUUUGUGGCUACAUUUCAACACUCAAUAAUGUAUGGCAUGUUCCAAUCUUUGUUUUUGAAUUACAGCCACGUGAUGUUGUUAUUUUGUUGUAUAUUUUGGACUUAACAGACUCUUACCGAUCAUUUUACACCUUCUCAUAAUCAGUAACAUGCUCGGAAUUAUACGUAGACCGAGGUUGCCAUACCUCUCCUAGCCAUCGUGGAAACAAGACAGUCCUCAUGAAAUCACUCAUUUAAUAGAUGAUUGUCACAAGUUUAAAAAGAACACCACUCAUCCAAAAGGUUAAUGAUUUCUUUACUUACAAGUAGAGGUAACAAAUUAACUCAUUGACUCAUUAAUGAUAUCUAUUAAGACCUGCUUAAAUUUGAUAUCACCAUAACAUAAAUGUGAGAUUGGUAAUGAUGAUGAUAGUGUAAGAUGAAAUGAAAUCAAACGAUUUUUAACAUGCAUUUAUUAACAAUCCAAUGAACUAAUUUGUUACAUCUAGUUACAAGGGAGUAUUUCCACUGCUGAAAUAAGUCUAAAUUUUUAUAUUAACGUGUGUAAUUAUUUUUUAUAAAAAUACUUUAUAAAAGCAUAUGAAUAUAUCGUUCACACGUAUUAUAGUAUAUACGUGAAAAUAAUGUACCAAAUGAAAUAUUUUCCAUACACGCAAAAGGUUCUUCCAUCCUAGCCGUAUGAUUUAAGAGGGAAAGCCAUAAUGGCACAAAAAUCAUACAAAUCAACUCCAUCUCACCCGUUGAUCACCUCUCAAUCACCCCAAUCAGAAAUCCAACGGUGGAUACGCUUACAGAAAAGGGUACACUUCAGAACACACCAGAGCCAUCCCCCACCCCACGCCUAAUUAUGUAAGGCCGCCUCAAGGAGGGAGAAACGACAGAUACGUGGAAGAAAACAGGUACAGAGGGAUUGGACUUAAAUGCAUGGGAUAGACAUGACGUCUGAUCACGCCACGUGGACGGUGGAUAUCAGCCACUCUCUCUCCUCCACCGCACUAUAAAUUGAGGGUCAUGGCUUCCUAUGGUUACUCGUUCAAAACAGAGCUUGCGUUUAUCUGCUUCUUUGUCAUCAAUUCAAUCAAACUUUCCGUCGGGAAAUUUUCCGUCUCCAAUUCCAAAAAUGUCGUCGUGCUGCGGUGGUAAAUGUGGUUGCGGGUCCGGCUGCAGCUGCGGCAGUGGCUGCAACGGGUAAUCUUUCUACCUCUCUGUUUGUUUUCCGAGAAUCUGGAAAAAAGAAAAUCCCAGAAAAUUUCUGCUCUGAUUUGGGUUUUUGACUACAUGGGUUUUUGUUCAGGUGUGGGAUGGCUCCUGAUCUGAGCUACAUGGAGGGGUCCACCACUGAGACCCUCGUGAUGGGAGUUGCUCCCCAGAAGUCGUACGUAUUCUCAUCUCUCAGAAAUGAGAUCCCAAAUUAUUUUUGAAAUAUGUAAUUUGCAGAUUUUGUGGUUAUAAUUUUGGGAGACACGGAGAAACAGAAGUAGAUGGACACCAAACCGACAAUAAAAGUUUUAAAACGACAAUAAAAGGGAAAAGGACUCCGAUCCCUUCCUCCAAUUCAAAUCAGGAAAUUUAUGAUGUUGAAAUUUUUUUCUUUACUAAUUAAUGAAAUCUUUUUGUCAAUCAAAAAAUGAAAGAUAAAUUAGUUUUUUGUUACAAAAAUAUGAUGGGUAAUAAUGUAAUUUUAAAGGUUUAAAUUUUAUUAUUUUUAUUGAAAUAUUACUUGCCGAUGAUAUUAAAAUACCUUUAAUAUUAUAUAAAAAAAUAACCAAAAAAUACCUUCCCAACUCUCCCAGUUCUCUCUCUCUCCUAUUUUUUUUUAAAUGUGUUCAUACAUAUAAAUUGCAAGUAAAUAUUAGUAAUUUUUAAAGUGAGUUUCUGUUUGUAAUCGUUGAAUCUGUAAGGAUUUUCUGAUUUGAUGAUUAGGAGAAAGGGAUAUGCGGAGUGGAUUUAUUCCCAGUAAAAGGAAACAAAAUCAUGAUUUAUGUACGGUUUAUUGUCUGUUUAACAUAAGUUAAAUUUGUCUUUGUUUUGUUUUUAUUGAAACCGCGAUCGGUAUGAUUUAGGGAAGCAUGGAGAGAGAAAGCAUCAUUUAUACACUGACUUAUUGUCUGUUUCGGAGCGCUGUAACAUUUGUUUUGUAAUUUUGAUGUGCAGUCACAUGGAGGCAUCUGAGAUGGGAGUUGCUGCCGAGAACGGAUGCAAGUGUGGAGACAACUGCACCUGCAACCCCUGCAACUGCAAGUGAGAGGGACAGAUGGCACCUUCUGAUGAAGCAAGAGAAUCGCGGGGCUUAUAUGUUUAGCAGUAAUAUAUGUAUGUGUGUGUGUCGUAAUCAUGAAUCAUGAUCCAAAUUUACGAAGGUCGUGUUUUUAGAAUAAAGUGGCCAUGGCUUCUUCUGAGCUGCACGUCCUACUAGGCUGGGAUCUGGUCCUAGGUUAUGGCUGCUUGUUGUCUGUUUGCUUUGUACAUGCAGUAGUCGUAUUUGUGUUUUUAUGUUCGUGUUAACUUGGUGGAUCGUAUUAUGUGUUUCUGAUGAAAUUAAUGAAAAACUUGCUCCAUCUUUUGCUUUAAUUUUUGGGUUAAUUGACAAGGAAAACGAGUGCAAUAAGUUCCAACAACAAAAGUUUCUAAGAUGUUCUGGGGAAAUUUGGAGUACAACAUAUUUCGAUGUUUUAACCUUUUAAGAAUUUGUCAAACAUCCAACGAUUAUCGGAGAAUUUGUGUAGAAAGUCGUAUAUAUGGAGGAGAAAAACACACAAGAAGAAUUAGAUUAGAUCUGUUACUAAUCCAAACAUUUUUAAAAAGGGAUUUUAACAAAAAAAAAAAAAUGGUAUUAUUUAUUUUAACGAAAAAUUAUAUUUUUAUAAUAAAAAAUUAAUAUUAGUACUAUUUAUUUUAUUUUUUUAUUUCGUAUUUAUCGUUAACUUAAAAUUUUUAAAUUAUUUUUAUUAGUUUUUUUUUUUUUAAAAAUAUUAACCAUCUAUUUGGGAUAAUAAUUUAGCCAUUAAUAAGACUCCAAAAAAAUAAUCAUCAAAGUAUUUGGAGAACCAUCAACCCUAUCCUUUAUUUCGUUCCAUGGUUAAAAAAAAAAAAAAGAACAAAAAAGCAGGAACUAGUGGUAAGCUAUGGUUAUUAACCUUUUUUUGGUCCGAAACCGGGAUUGUAAUUUUGUUAUGUCGGUGGUUACGAUCAAGCAGAUCUAACGGCUCGAAAUAUUUCACAUUUUUUCAAAACUCACCCAUCCAAUAUUUAUUGUAUGGUUGUGGUUCAACCACAUUUUUUUGUUGGAAACUCACCCUCGAUCUAAUAUUUAUUGUAUGGUUGUGGUUCACGUUACGCUUUGGACGGGCGAUGUCUUUAUGCUGGGAGCAGCAGCUUUUGGGCACUCCACAUGUUGGUCGAAAAAGUGUCACCGUGACAUCUCAUGUUAGUGUAACAUCUCGGUGAGGACAGUUUCAAUUGUCGAACGAAAAUAUGACGAAGCAUAAGUGCCUUGCCGUAUCAAUGACUCAGCAAUAAGGCUUUGUAAAUUUCAUUCAGUUCAAGAUUGUAACAACAAAUAGAUGGAAUUCAUUAGAAAUCAUGAAUAAUCUUCGUUGCUAGUUUACAAAUCAACACAAACAGGGUCUUUUCAGUCUUUUACAAUGACACGUCCAUAAGGUUUUACUUGGGCGAGAAAUUUCCGUAGAGCUGCCUUCUCACACGGGGUUUGACCAACUUGAGGUUGGAUAGAUUAAAAACUAAAAUACAGGAGGUUUUAGAGUUGGAGUUGACGUGGUCAGACACCCCUAUCCAAAUUUCACAUUUGCUUGACCUGUGAAAUAUCUGAGCAGCUGAGUGUUGCCUUUAUUUCCUUAUCAAGUACCCCUAUCGCUGCUUUGUUAAACAGGUUGACAAUCUGUUAAAAGAAAUUAAUUAGAGCAGAUUAGUAAUCAUUCAUCAUUCAACGGGGAAGGUUGUGGUGAAACUGUCUUCUGGGAUCACCUGCUUAGUUGAGAGGCCUAUUUUCUCCAAAUCGUUCAGCUGAAACAUGCAACGUUCAACAUCACAGUUACUCAAAAACUUAGUUCCAAUUUCGCUGUACCGUUCCAAUUUUAUCGGAUAGUCCAUGAAAAAACAAAUGUAAUUCAAGUUUCAUCUGUUCCUAAACCUUAAUAAACUUGCUUACCGAUUUUAAAGGGCUCGUUUCUCUGAGCUCGAGUAUGUAUUCAGCCAUUUUGACUCCUAUUCCCUGAUUGAUGAACGCGAGGGAAAAAGAAAGUAUCAGAAGGCAAGUAAUUAUUUUAAGAACACACAAAGAUGCAGCAUUUGAUAGGAACCUUUAGCUCCAGCAGCUCUUCCCUGCGGUUGAGAAAACCAGUCGAAAUAUUAGGUUCAUUUGGUAUGAUUGAGUGAAAAAUGCAAGAAACGAAAAAACGAAGAAGCUUCAAAGAGAUGAUAAGAUUUUUACCUGUUGGCUGUGUUCAAGAAGUCAAUAUAAUCUUGAAGUAGGAACUUCUGUGCAAUAAGCGAAAGAAAAACAGAUGAAAAUCACAUUAAAAAGCUAGAACUUAACUAAUAGAGUUGUACGUAAUGAUUGUACCUUCAAGUUUGAUCCGCAAGCAGUGAAUUUAUCAAGUGGGGUGCCUGUCCUUUGGAACAUGUUUUUCGUGCAGGUCGCUAAAGAGGGAGUUUUCGGAGUCUUUGGAUCAAAGAGUAGGGUGCAAUCUCCAUUUGUGAAUAAGGGUUCACUGAGGGGAUUUUGAUUUAUAUUGGUGUUGAUCGGGGAGAGAGCUUUUCUCAAGGAACUUUGAGGUGUGUUUUUCUUCCCGCUGACGGGUGAUGAGUCGUUUGCAAAGUUUUCCUCCUGGUUUGGUGGUUCAGCUAUGCAUAUAUACAAGAAAAUAGUGCAUUUAUUCAAUUUGUUUAGAGUGUUUGAAGGAGCAUAUUAAGUAAUAAAACCAUAUAGAGCUGAAACAUACCAGGUAAACUUGUAUUUGAUUUGAGAACGGAUCCACAAGCUCCAGCAUUGCCCACUUGUUUAUUAUCCUUAGCGGCGAAUUGCAGGCUCUGGAAAGCAAUUCCAACUCAUAAAUACACAAUGACAUAAACAUCAAACGCAAGAUAAACUAAUUCGGAAUGAAUUCAGUAGCUUCUCAUCCCCAAGUGGAACUGUUAAACUCAAACUUUCAAAUAAUAUGCCAUCUCAUGAAUAUCCUAAUGUGAUGAAUAAAGUUUCACAAUAGAGUAAGAAUAAGAAUAUAUUGAAUACACUAUAACGUAGUUCUAAUUUUAUCAUUUUCCAUCCAUGUACUCCCUAAAAUUUAGUAAUUACCUCCAAAUUGGAAUCAACUAGACUUUCAUUGUCGAUUAUGUUCCUGAUAGGUCUUUUGAUUGUCCUGCAAAAAAUUUCAACAAUCAAACAAAAGUGACUAAUGCAUAGCAUGAAGGAUAUACAAUUCAACUAGUUACUUGUCAUUGUACCUUUCUUUCACAGAGCAGGCGCUUCUGUUUGUAUUAACCUUGGAUUUCAUAGAACUGAGGUUGAUGCUGGGUUUCUUGACAUUAGCAAUAGAAGAACUUGGAGAUUUCCCCAACAAGGGAGAAUUGAAUGCUUCAAUUCUUCGCACACUCUUUGUCUUUCCUCUUGAUUCAAGCCAAGUACGGAGUUUGGCUUCCAUGUCAACUUUAACCUUCGGGGUCUCUUGCUUGUGAGCUGAAGGAACAAAGUUGGUAAUGUGGCGUGACCGAGCUGCCAAGCUGACAGUAUGAACAGACUCCUGGUACUCUCCUGGAUUCUAUUAUCAAAGAAAAUUGUUUCCAAUAUAAGUUUCAAAGAAAAAAAAAAGAUAAUAAUAAGUACAGGCCAGACGAAAGCACUUCUAUUCAAACGCUAAUUCAAACUUCUUACCAAGCAAGUAAUCAUCAAAGCCUGACUCAUCCCACCUAGUGAGUCUUGCAAAAUACGAGUCAAUUUACUCUCUCUAUAGGGCACUCGGGAUAAGUUGUUGUUCAGUGCAUAAAUGACAUUUGAUAAUGCAAACAAGGACUGGUUAAUCUUCGCACUCUCUUGGAGACGGAUCCCUUCGUUGCAAGUUCUUCUAUUAUCUUCAUUACCUGCUUGAAAUACACAUGUAGAUUAAAUAAAGAAAAGACAAAGAUCAUGUACUUUAUUUAUAGGGAAAAGUUUAGGAGUGAGAAAAGACCUGCUAAAUCUAUGAGAUUCAACUUCCCAGUAACAGCAUCCCCAGAACCAUCAUCAAGAGUUGAAACGGCAAUCACAAGGACACCAUGGCUCCUACUAGACACAUCAUUGAGACCUGUAUGGGCAGUUUUCCGCCUCUGAAUCCCACAAGAAAAGGCCUCAUAAAACUCAAACAUGGACUUUACAGGGACCCGAGACAGCCCCUUAAGAUGAACCUGCCCAUCUUUGUCAUCCAAAACCGUAAUUUCCUUGGCUUUGAUCUCUAACAGGUCAUAACACCUGUCCAUAUAGACCUCGUAGUAUGAUAGCUCAACUGAGCUUCCUGUGCUCUGGCACAUAGACAGGAUUUUGGACAUGGACAGCUCCAUUAGACCCGGCAUCUCAUCCGUGCCCUGGAACAUAAAAUCCCAUGCUGGAUUAACAUUACAGAAGAAAAUGCUUCAGAACAAACACUAAAAGCUGCAUUUAGUUACUUUUAACCUAUGCUAAUUCACAAAUUUCUUUUCUUUCUGGGGAUAAUUACAGAUGAUUAUCCAGAUUAAUGAUUUAUUAAUCAUAAAAUGCCUUCACUAAUGUUUCAUAUGGGUGGUCAGACGUUGGUGUAGCCACAUUGGGUAGAGCGGAUGUGCUCCCCCUCCCCGCAGUUUAGAUUAGUUUAAAAAUUAAAAUGGAACAUCGAUUAUGUAAAAAGAAACGAAAAAAAAAAGUUCAUAUCUUUGGAGAAUUCAAAUUCAAAACUGAAUUUUUGCCAAAAGAAGUAAAAAAAAUUUCAAACCUGUAUAGUGUAAGUCUUUCCACUUCCAGUAGCUCCGUAGGCGAACACCGUCGCAUUGCAGCCAUGAAAGAGUCCCGGAAUCAAGGGGCAAACUUCUCUACUGAAGAUCCGGCCAACAUUGUUAUCCUCCGGGGCAAAGAAGGAGUCUAACCGAUAGCACUCGUUUCGGCUACACCCCGAAAAACAAAAUCAGGAGUCACCAUCAAAACCCAGCUUCCCAAAUCAAGAAAGCCAAAAUUCAUCUCCGAAUUGGCUGACAGAAAAGCAAGAAAAUUACUCACCUUGUCACUUUAUCUUUGAGAUGAACAACCACUUCCUCGGUCGCAAACUCGGAUUCUUUUUCGAUAACGGAAGCGCACGGCGUCGGAUCUCUGUUACCGUCAGCGAUCUCUUGGGGAAGAAAAGGGCGCACCCGAGCGAUCACCCUGACCUUCGAAAUUGAACUGGGGUUCGUAGAUUUUGCUGGAGUUGCAGAAGAACUGUCAAGAGCUCGACCCACCUCCAUUGGAACAAAGGAAAGAGCUUUAGCUUGGAUUUCAAGUGAGAGAGAGAAUUGGGAAUUUGCAGAACGGUCUGUAACUGAAAGAUGGAGAUUAAGAGGAGGUCUGAAACUAUUUGUCGAACGUUGGGGCUUUUUCAGUUUGAAUUUUUGGAUUGGGUGCGGACUGUGCCGUUGGGCCUCGUGUGUGGUGGGGGCCUAUUUCUUACUCCUUCGGAAUGUUUGCUGUUUAGGAUGAGAGAUUUUUUAGUAUAACCGCUAUACGGAUGGGACGUGUUAUUAUACAAAUGAUGAGAUAUAAAUUUUUGUGUUUUGACUGUCGAACGUGGUUUGUACCCAUGUUGAGUCAAGUGACAUCUAAAUGUAGGAAGCCCAUUGUCGAACGUGGUUUGUACCCAUGUUGAGUCAAGUGACAUCUAAAUGUAGGAAGCCCAUUAUUUAUGAGCAAGUAGGACAGUGUAAUUAUACAAAUGAUGAGAUAUAAAUUUUUGUAUUUUGACUGUCGAACGUGGUUUGUACCCAUGUUGAGUCAAGUGACAUCUAAAUGUAGGAAGCCCAUUAUUUAUGAGCAAGUCGGACAGUGUAAUUAUUUCGACUAACACGUACAAGAACUAGUUCUUUUUUUUUUUUUUUGGGAGGGGGUGGGGUUAGCCUUACAAAGGGUUAGUAAAUAGUGUGGUUCAAAUUCGCUUUUAGCGAGAAUUGAACCUAAGACCUUUUAUUUAUAGGUGAAGGUGAAUACCACUAGAUCGUAGUACUAAGUGGCAUCAAUAACUACUUUCUAAACAAUGAUAAAUUCUUCCCCGUUGCUUGUUGAGAUCAAAUGAGGCCCAUAGUAAGUAUGGUCGUAUUGUCUUUGCAUUAGAAGAAAGACUUUUAUGAUAUAAGUAUACACUAUCUUGACAUUUGGUGUCAAUACUAUAAAAACAUGUGUAAAUUUUUAUUUAUAGCAUCGUAUCAUUAACAUAAUUUGUUGAUAGUAUAACUAGGAUUUGGAUUUCGGAUCCAAAUUGUAGGAAUUCUAGAAAUUCUCACAUCUUAAUUGUUUAUCGUACAUCAUGCAGUCAGAAAUUAUUUUGAAUUUAUUUAUUUAAAACUAAACAUAAAUAAUAAUGAACAUUAAAUGCACAAUAUACGAUAAACGAUCAUGAUGUAAGGAUUUCUGAAAACACCACAAAAAAGAUCCGGUGGAUUCUCAUCCGUAUAACCAUGCCAUCAAGUUGCUCUCAUGAAUUUUCGAAGUAAAAAAAGCUGCUCUCAUGAAUUUGGUUUGUAUAUGGGCCCCCACCAUGGACCCACAACUUGUAAGACAAAGCCGCAUAUGACCGGCGGAGGGAAACUCUCUCCCAACCAGGCCCAAAUGGCCCCCUCGUCAGAGUUUCAAUUACCCAAACGUUUGAGGACCUGUCAGCAAGGCGGCGCAAAUAUGUGAAGGGUUUUAGACAAAGACCGUAAUUGUAUAUGCGUUAAACCCUAAACCCCCAAAAUUGUGGGAAAUCACGAAGAUGGAGAAGGGCAUGCUGUCUGCAAACUUGGAGGGUCUUCCCGAAGAAGACAAGCACAGAAUGGCCACCUUGAUCGACCAACUCCAGAUUCGCGACAGGUUUUUCUGAUUUUUUUUUUAAAUGCAGUGUUUUUUUGUAAUUUGUUCUCAGUAAUUUGUGAUUAGUGAGGCAUGUUCUUGAUACGGUGCAUGAUAGAUUGAAGUCUUAGAAAAAUACCCACAAAAUUAAAUGGUUAAUUGUUAGCAGGAAAUUUGAAACUACGAUGUGAUUCCAAUGUAAUCAAGUAUAUGUUUUGAAAUUUUGAAAACCGAACCGAACCGGAUAUAUGUCUUGGGUUUGGCUCAUGGUUUUGAUGAUGAACUGGCCCAAACCGAACUGUGCCCAUCCCUACUGAUUUCGGUUGUGUUUGUCCAAAAAAUGCAGUCUGAGGAUGUAUAAUUCAUUGGUGGAGAGAUGCUUUACCGACUGCGUAGACACCUUUUAUCGCAAAGCGCUGACGAAGCAAGAGGAUACGUGCGUUCGUAGGUGCGCUGAGAAGUUCCUCAAGCACUCGAUGCGCGUUGGCAUGAGGUUUGCAGAGCUUAAUCAAGGAGCGGCUACUCAAGAUUAAGCUAAGCUCUAUGUAUGAAUCAUUUUUUGGUAUGGAAGGUCUUGGAAAUCUUUCGAGUCGGUUUACGGAAGUUGCAAUUUGUUUAGCCUUGAUUCUAGAAUUGUGUUUCUUACACUGAUUAGAUUCGUACAUUUUCAAAAGAAAAAAAAUAUUCAUGGUGAGGUUUUACAGUUAGCUGGAACUGGAUAUGAAUUGGUUAUGAUUUAUGAUUUUGCCCUUUUAUUCGCGUAUCAUAUCUGGUGUGGUAAAUUCGUUGUGUACACGUAGACUGUGAUUGAAAGUUUAGGAGGAACGGCUCCUUGCCUCUGCAGCAUUGCAAGUGUAGAGAUUGAGAUUGUGUAGUUUUGUUCAUUGAUGAAGUCCCGACUGCGAAAAAAUGAAUAUAGGAUUUGGGAUUGAUAGACUUUGAUGCAACCCUUCAUUCUUGGUAUACAGAUCCUUCCAUUCUUCCCCUUAAUUUAGAACUUGACUUCGGUUGGCAGUGAUCUUGAUAGUGAGGCAACCAAGUGAUUUAGAUUAGAUGAGAAGAAAAUUGGUUUGUAAAAUCACCGCCUUCUGAGCCUUUUCCCCUUUCUGCUAAGGAUGAUAAAGAUUACGAUGUGACUGUGAAAGUAUCUCAAGGACUAGAAAAGGAAAACUCGAAGGGAGAUUACCUAACAGUGAAUGAAGAAGUUGCCAGUUGGUCUCCCGGGCAUGGAGGUCCCUGCUUGAACUUGAUGAGCAAUUAGGCAGAAAUGUGAGCAAGCAGAUGCAGGGGAUUGAAUUGAACAUGCUGUGAUGCAGGCAAUUUUUUGCUUCGAUGAUUGUUUUGGAAUGCAGUUUUCUAGUGCUUGUUAUUUGGGAUUCAAUCAUGUAUAUUUUUACGUUGAGUUGUGUUAUUGAAGGAAGGAUGAAGGUUGUUCUUGGUAAAGAUUCCAUGAUGCUUUGUGGGGAAGUUGUUGGAUAUAAAGAUGUCAAAUGCUAGGUUUGAAGUUCUCUUGCUCACUAGUGGUUUUUGGUAUUUUAAAAACUCAUUAAAAACCCAACUGAAUACUUUGUUAAAAAAAAAAAAGAAAAAAAAAAGAAAAAGCUUAGAAAAGCACUUCUAUUUAAAAAGCACAUUUAAAGCCCUUUCAAAUUUUUGUUAAACACUUCUAGUCUUGAAGGCCUCUUUGAUGUCUAGCGUUUAGCUUGUAUAAGGUAAAUCAUCAGAUUGAGUGAAUACCGAAUGAAGAAUUAGAUGUCCACUUGCAUUUUUUUGUCAAAAUGAAGGUAGAAUAUGGAUUAGCUAUGACAAAAACUUAUU